rnacentral:lncRNA from 1 species
GCCGCUGCCCUCUCCUAAAUCCAGGCCGCCGGCCAAGCUCUAUUACAAAUCCGCUGAGCUCCAACAACCAAAAAACGGGCUGCAGCUCGGGAUUGCAUCCUCGGAGCUUGCAGCCCAGCUGCUGCACCCCUGCUGCCAUGCGAGCUAUGGCCGUGAGGGCUUCCAAACACGCCCUUAGGGUUUGAGGUUUUAGGGAUUCUUCCCCCGUCCAUCGCCGGUCACAUCGCCUCCGGGAUGCAAGCGAGGCUGGUCGCGGUUGCCCACGCAAAGCCCAAGCGGCUGUCGCCCGCCAGCGAGUUCUGGUGAUGGUGGCACUCACUGGGCAUGGAGGGACAUGUGGUCCACUCGCAAUUCGGAGAUGGUGAACAAGGACAUCACCACCAUGAUAUUGUUUCAGUGGCUGAUCAGUUAGAGCUGCUUCCUGAGCUACAGAUAAUCUGACGCAUCAGCAAGAGACUACCUUUUCUUGAUUAGCACAAAUUGGAUAUAGCAGUUUCUGCCAAUAUUGCAACUCCAAUCCAACAACCCAAUAGGAGAAGCGAGGGUAUGCUUAAAGGUGCCUUCUCACCAGUGGAAGUGUCUUCAAAUAACAUUUUAGGUGGGCCUCCAGUUGGGUACAGUAUUCAACACUUCAAGGAGAACACAAGCAGUCUUCAGCUUUCUGCUUGAGAUAAGAAUUGAUGAUAAUACAAACUGCACAGCACUUGCUUCUUCCUAUUGAAGAGCAACCUUCCCUUCCACAUAUCGUGUACAUUUCUGCAACAGGCCCAGCCCCCCGUUUGCAUUGGAUAGUAGUGCGUAGGUAGACAUUCAUCCUGACAAUUGCAAACAGUUCUUCCGUAACGAAAAUGGCUGCACCAUUUUGCCAGCACUUCCUGGCUUCCUGCAAUUUCCUAGCGAUCUUCCUCUUGUUCUUGUUGUUGCACGUAAAUUCUGCUCUGAACUGAAGCUUAUGUGCUCAUAUAUCCACGUUGACACAAUGCCAUGUUUUGGAGGUGGUGGCUAUGAUUGCUUCGAUUGCAUCAACGAUAAAAGUUCACCGGGCUCUUUAACAAGAAGCACUAAAUCACUUGUUGAAUUAUUCUCAGCCAAAACAAUGAAUUAGUAGCUAUUUUCCAAAUAAAGAUCUUUAUUUUCUGAGGAACAUGUGCCUUCCAUACACGACCAGAUGUCACGAGCACCUCUGUUAGCUCUGCUGCAUUGACCACCAUUUUCUUUCAAUAAUUCCACAUUCUCAGCCAGUAUAUAAGCACUUCUCACUGUGAAUAACAUGCUUCUCCGGUUUCCAUGCAAUGUAAUCCCCAGAAGGGUUUGUUGGCAGUCUGAUUGAGAGAAUAGCUUCUGCAUCAUGGGGAUAAAAAAUCUCACGAAUUUGCUGCUCCUUCCAAGAACGUGAGACCGAAUCAAUAGAUCAGCCACUACUUUUAAUCAGUUAGAUUUUUCUGAUUUUCCUCCUUAUGUUUACAUUGGCGAAGUAAUCCAAUUCACAUUACAUACAUUUUUAUGUUACUGUUUUUGAACCAAACAUAUCCUCGCUUUCUUUGUGCGCUGACUCUCCUUUCUGCACACAGGGGCGGGUGAACUCGACAGAUAUGGCGGUUGACAAGUGGGUGACAGUGGUGGAGCACUCAAAGGAGAUGGUGGGCGAGAAGGCGGCGGCGGCGGCUCGAGCGGCCCAUGAGUCGAAGGAGUACAGGAGGUCGCUCGUGGACAUCGGCCUCACUCUGUUGAUCGGCGUCGUAUUCAUGCUCCUGAGUUUCCUCGUGCCGGAGAUAUCCAAGGUGUGGCAGAUUCUGUGUUGGCAGACCACGAUGAUCUCUUUCGCAUGUGCCGUGUUCUUCACCUGGAUCCAUCUGAGGGAUUUCCAUCCCAAGGUGGAGUCAUCUCGGGUUUGAAGAACUGGGAGUGGAGGAGACAAAGGUUGCUGGAAAAUGUUGAACUGAAGCCUUGUCACACAAACGUAUUUGGUUGAUGGACCUUAUUCUGGAAAUGUACAGAAGAAAAAUGAUUCAAAUUUCUUCUUCAGCUGAACAAUCCAUUCAAGAAUCAGUUAGACGUACCGUGAUUAUUCUCCACAAGAGUACUGCAAUGAUAUUGUUGGUGGUGUUCUAAAUUGACCUCUUUUUCUAUUGAAGGAUGGUUCAGCUGCUUUAUUUAUAAGUAAAACUAUAGCAUUAUUUGAUUCAAUGAUGCAGAUUUGUUGUCUUGACUUGGCCUCAUUUUCGACACCCUGUAGUACAGUUCAUUUAUAUGCUGCUGCACUUGGCAAUCUCACACUAGAAUUUUUUCUCAAAAAAAAAAUUAUCGCCACUCGAAAGAAGCAAACAACAAAAAUAAAUGUGGAAAGUAUUGUUUUUUUUACCAAGUAUUGUUGAUUGGAGUCUCUGCAAUUUCUGUGGUUUUGUGCUAAAAUGCCUAAUUCCCCAUGCUUGUUAAUAAAAUGUAAAGCAUAUAAUUUGUUUUUGUUUUUUACAACUUCUGGAUCUGAAUACUGACUUUUAAUUGCAUUGUUUGGCUAAAUCUGUUUCAACUUCAUGAACUCGGCCGCCGCCUAAUCAAGCACGCUGGCGGACGAUGGACUGCAGCAGGGAGAAGGUGCCAGGGGCAGCACCGUCAGCAGCAGCGCUAUUCACCACUGGUCACUCCACCGCCAGCGCCUCAUCCAAUCAGUGCUAGCUCAUCUGCUUGUGCUUUUUCAGAGUAUUCCUUCUAUAAUUCAUUCAUCUGCUCUUUGUUUUUUCUGGUUGAAAUAAGUUUAUAGGCGACUGAAGUUGUACAGCACAAAAUUAGUGGAGUUACAUCAUGAAAUUAGGGAUCACCUGGUUGAAUAAUUAUCUGCUCUUUAUUAUGGAUAAUUGCAGAAUGUAUUACGUACUAUACUCUUGAAAUCACAGUCAUAUAUACUACAGAACAGUAGCUUAGCUUACCCAGUGCGGGGUUAUUUUCUCAACCUGAUCAAGUCUAGAAUUUGUAGAUAGUUGUGUAUUUUGCUCUUAGGAAAGUGAUGGCUGUUACUUCCUCCGAUCUAUAAUAAGUGUCUCGGGUUUAGUACAAAUUUGUACUAGGCUUAGUUUAAAACCGCGACACUUAUUUUGGAUCAGAGGGUGUACAAUUAGAAAACUUGCAAUGGCUAUUUAGUUUAUUAGAACACUUGUGUAUUUUGUCCAAGAACCAAACAUGGGUAAGAAAGGGAAGAUGUUCAGUCUUGUCAGGAGUGUGUUGAGCUCCUCCGAUUCAAACUGGACGCAAGCUUGCUGACAUUAAUUGAAGGUUUUUAUAAAGUGAUAAAUCACACAUCAAUCCUACUCUGUUGUUCCAGUGCAGUUUUCUUGGUCGUGUGAACUUGUAAAACCUCGCAACCUUUUUGUGUUUGAUGAAUUUUGGGUUCCAUGAACAAAGGUAUAUGUGUUUGGCGUUACAUUGGUUCUUUUAUGCAUUGUCUGAUUUGUGCUCAUUACUUGGUCUUCUUCCUCGUCGGUUUGGUGACGAAUCAGCGGUUCGACAACCUGUCUUGCAAGAGGUGUGUCCUCGGACAAAGUCCGUUCAACGAUCUUAAAUUCUCAUCGGUUGCGAUGAGCGACUCACGCGCCUAUUUAAAACCUAUGAGGUUAGUGCAUAUUGUGCAGGUCUAGCCUUCACCCAUUUGAUCACCAGAGACAUGGAGAAAUUUUAAGAUACGGACGACGGACCUUUAGAUUUUUACUUUAAAGAAUCUUGAUGUGAAUUUUAGUUUCAUUAUGGAUCUUUGUUGUCGGUUUUUAUUUCAGUUUUUUUAUUCUUUGUACACUGUUUAUUGAUUCAAUAAAGCCAGAUGUCUCUUAAAAAAACUCAUUCUGAUGUUUUGUUUACUGAUCAAUUCUAAAUUUUAGCAGUAAAAAUGAAGUUCUCCCCGGGGAUUAAGUUAAUGAUGCUUUCCUAAUCUCAAGCUAACUCACAAAUAUAAAGGGAUUUGACAGAAAUUUAAAUCAACUAAAAUUAACUAGUCUUUUUGGUAUUUCCGUGGACCUUAGCAAAAACUUGACAAAAACUUAACUGAAUCUACUGAACUAAUUGAAGAAAAGGACACUAACAGAGCAGAUCAAAGCAGUGACAAAGAGAAAGAUUUGGAUAAAGCAAAGGGUUUUUGGUGAAGGUAGAUGAACUAGGAGAUCUAGAGGAAAGUUGACUGCAAGAUUUGGGCAAGGAGAGAAUUGGGAAUUGGGAAGAAUCGCUCAACAGAUCUAAGAGAUAGCAGCAAGGUUUUAGACAAGGAAAGAUUUCUUGAGGAAAAGAACAUCACAUGGAGAACAUGUUUAGAAUAAGCAACAUGACAUGAAAAAUAACAACACACAUGAACAUUAACUUGACAAAAAGUUCAAAUUUAAACAUGAUCAACACCAAAAAUUCAUGAAAAUAGUUUUAAAAAGGGUACUGAUCAUUUACAACCUCCCAAACGGCAGGCGACCACAGGUCCUAUUUACUUUGAACUUUGAGCAUAUACAGUAUACAUGUAGCCUUGGGUCCCAGAGAAAUCUGGAUAUGGUUCAUGAGAAAGUGUGCUAUACCUUCACAGAGGUUCUUGCUCUUUCUCUUCUUCUUUUUUUCUGAGCAUGAUUUUUUCGAUUCCAACAGUUUCUCGUGAGUUAUGUUUUCUUUUCUUCUCCCAUUACAUGAUGGAUACGAAUUGAUCAUUCGUUUUCCUUUUUGUUUGACAAAUCGUGGUUCCUAACAUUACUAAGAGAGAAUCGUGUAGUGGCAAGGACCACUACACCAUUGCCUCCUUGUCUGAAGAGCGAGAUGAAGAGCCAAAGCAGGUAUCUCUUGCUCGGCGCUAUACGACCAACACUCGUCAAUCAACAUAUCAAUCUGCAACCCCACUUGAUGAUCAAACACCACGCUGCAGACGCUACCGUCGGUGGAGACCGAGGACAGGAAUAAAUCCGUGAAUUUCACUAAAUCCCUAGACAAGUCACUCAAUCGCUUGUGAGCACCAACAAUGGCUUACCUCAAAAUGGAAAUAGUGUAAUGUUUUUGGCUAAGGCAGCAACGAAGAGUCAAGAGGGACGUAGACAGCUGAAAUGUCAACUCCGAAACUAUAGCCUACAAUAUUUGCAAAGUCGUCGCAUUAUUGUUGCUUGUAUGACCAAGACUCGCGCGACUACAUUCCCAGACCAUAAUCGCCUUAUCGCGCCCGUAUUGCAAUUCUUCAGGCCUGAUCAAUCCAUCAUGGAAUGGUCAGCUCCCGCCUGCUCCAUCACUGUCCUGAUCCUUGUGUCCUUCCUGCCGUUGCGAGCGUCCGACGACCGCCUCCUCCCCAGCAAGCCGCUCUCCCCUGGCGCCACCAUCGUCUCGGACGGCGGCGACUUCGCCUUGGGCUUCUUCAGCCCCUCCAACUCCAGCACUACUCCAGCGAAGCUGUACCUCGGCAUAUGGUACAACGGCAUUCCCGAGCUCACCGUGGUGUGGGUCGCGAACCGAGAAACCCCGGCCACCAACACCACCAAUUCCUCCUCCGCGCCCACGCUCUCCCUCACCAACACCUCGAGCCUCGUUCUCUCCGACGGCGGCCGUGUCCUUUGGACGACGACGCCUGAGACCGACGUGGCCGCUGCUCCAGCGACGGCGGUGCUUCUGAACAGCGGCAACCUGGUCCUACGCUCGGCGAACGGCACCACGCUGUGGCAGAGCUUCGACCACCCGACGGACACGCUCCUGCCGGACAUGAAGAUGGCGAUCAAGCAGGGCGCGCGCGCCGCCGGGCAGCGCCUGGUGUCCUGGAAGGCGCCGGGCGACCCCUCGCCCGGCCGCUUCUCCUACGGCGGCGACCCGGCCACGUCCCUCCAGAUAUUCCUGUGGGAGGGCACGCGCCCCGUGUACCGCAGCGCGCCAUGGACCGGGUACCGGGUGAAGAGCGAGUACCAGUUCCAAACGAGCAACACCAGCGCCGUCACCAUCUACCUGGCCGUCGUCGACAACAACGGCGGCGGGGAGAGCUACACGACCUUCAGCGUAUCGGACGGCGCGUGGAAAACAAGGUACGUCCUGGCCUACUCGGGCGAGCUCCAGAUCCGGAGCUGGAACGCCAGCUCGUCGGCGUGGGCCGUGCCGGGCCAGUGGCCCACCUGGGCGUGCGACCGCUACGGCUACUGCGGCCCGAACGGGUACUGCGACGAGACGGCGGCGCCCACCACCCCGGCGUGCAAGUGCCUGGACGGCUUCGAGCCGGCGAGAGGGGAGGAAUGGGACAAUGGGAAUUUCUCGGCGGGGUGCCGCCGCAAGGAGGCGCUGCGGGGUUGCGGUGAUGGCUUCGUGGCGUUGCCGGGGAUGAAGCCGCCGGACGGGUUCGCGCUCGUGGAGGAGGAUAAGUCGCUGGCGGAGUGCGCGGCGGAGUGCAGCAGCAACUGCUCCUGCGUGGCGUACGCGUACGCUAACCUGAGCAGCGGCACGUCCAAGGGGGGUAUAGCAAGGUGCUUGGUGUGGGCCGGGGAGUUGGUUGACACCGGGAAGCUAGGCUCAAGCCCCGCCAGCGACACGCUCUACCUCCGGCUCGCAGGCUUGGACGCAGCACACGGUACCAAUCCAAUCUCUUCCCUCCUCAUUCUCUAUGUUAGUCUUUUUUCUUCUGAUGGUGACUAUUUCUAGUUCUUUUCCUGGGCAAUUAGGAGGGGAGAAAUUUUCUACCUAAAAAUAUUACUCACUCCGUUUCAUAAAGGUUUCAAGAACACGAGUUUAAAAAUAGGGGUAAAGGGCAUAGAUAGUCACUUCAUAAUUAAUCCACAAUCCAGCGGCCAGUCUAAAAGCCCAUAGAUAUCACAAAAGUUCCUCCAAAGAGAGUUUAACCAUUACGGACAAAAAUUGUUGGUUCUUUAUACUCCCUCCGUCCCAUAUUAAGUGACGAAAUAUUACAUGUAUCUAGACGCUUUUUAAAUAUAAAUACAUCCAUAUUGGGCAAAGUUGAGUCACUUAAUAUGAGACGGAGGGAGUAGUAAAAAAACAUAUAUAACUAGGCAGUUACACAUUUGUGAAAUAUGGGCAACUUCCCUUUUAGACAUGUGCAAGUGCGCAAGCGAGCAUGUUCAUGUACAUUUCUACACCCAGAGAUGCACAUAUAAUUGUGUGUCUAGAUAUUAUAUUGUGUCACUUGGUUUAGAGAUAUAAACUCCUCCCUACGAUACAUAAAAUGUGUCGUCCACUUAGUACGAAAUUUGUACUAACAUUCAGUACAAAAUGGGCGAUACUUUUUAUGGAUGGGAGGGAGUAGAUUUUCAAUGGCCUGAAAAUUAGCAAACCUGUUAUUUUAUAAGAAAUGCCCACGGUGCAACUCAAACACAUGCUUUAAACUUGUAAACUGGACCGUUCAUAACACUUCGCUUUUAUGCUAUGGUGCAUGGACAGGUACAAGAUCAAAGAACAAUGAAGUGAAGUUUGGAUUGCCAAUUUUAGGAAUUAGUGUUCUGAUACUGGGGUGCAUUUUUCUUGCAUGGCUGAAUUUCAGAGGUACGUUAAAUUUAUAUUCCUCUAGGAACUGCCUAUUCGACCUUUUUGAAAUAUUUGAGUUUGUAUAUUGUACCCUCGUGCCGCAGAAUAUUCUAAACCCCGUGAAUUUGCAAAUUCGCACCAGAGCCUAUUUAAGCAAUGUAGUCAUUGCAAUUAAUAGAUAAGACAAUAAUUCCACAUGUUAGUGAUGUCUGCUUCUUCUUCACACCCCCUCAUCCGGCUCCCCCCUCAUCUUCUACUGGGUAGAUUUCUGUUAACAAUCUAAGACAUGGCUCUCUCGUUGCUUGACCAUGGUAUCCUUGGUGGGGGUCUAGUAUAGUAAACUAGUAACACUAAUAUGCCAUGGUGGUUUUUGGUUAUGUGAAUUUACAACGGGUAUACAGUGGACAAACACUAGCAGUUAAAUCUGUGAAAUAAAAUCUUAAUUUUUUUAUCUUAUUUGUUAUGUGUAUGAUAUACUCAUGGAUGUCGGUUACUGAAGCAGGCAAGAAGAGAAACCAGGGAAAGCACAAGAAGGUAACAGUGGAUGGUUCAAGUGAACUUGAAUUUCCACUUGUAAGAUUUGAGGAAGUUGCCCUAGCAACACAAAAUUUCUCUGAAAAAUGUAUGAUUGGGCAGGGAGGCUUUGGUAAAGUUUAUAAGGUAAUUUGUUCUAUAGUAGUAUCCUCUUAUUCAUUCUAAAUCUGUUUAAGUAACUUAAUUGACUUGUUCAUAUGAAAACCAAAAUGCAUGUUUUUCCUUAACAUUUUGAAGGGAACACUAGGUGGUCAACAGAUUGCCGUCAAGAGGCUAAGUAGGGACUCUCAACAAGGGACAAAUGAGUUUACGAAUGAAGUAAUUCUCAUUGCCAAAUUGCAACACAAAAAUUUGGUUCGACUCCUUGGAUGCUGUGGCGAGGCAGAUGAAAAAUUGUUGAUUUAUGAGUACUUGCCUAAUAAAAGCUUAGAUGCCACCCUUUUCGGUAUAUUCCAUCAACACCACCAGAAUUUCCUAAAAUAACUCAACAUGUUCUCUUACAUAUUUUCUUUUGAUAGAUGAUUCAAGAAAACACUUGCUGGUUGGGUGACUCGGUUAAUAUAAUCAAGGGAGUGGCAAGGGGGUUGCUUUAUCUCCGCCAAGAUUCAAGGUUGACCAUUAUUCACAGAGAUCUCAAAGCUGGAAAUGUUUUGCUAGAUGCAGAGAUGAAACCCAAGAUAACCGAUUUUGGCAUGGCAAGGAUCUUUGGUGAUAACCAGGAAAAUGCAAAUACGCAAUGUGUUGUCGGAACAUAGUGAGUAAUUAUUUGAACCAUUAACUUGUAUUAACUCAUGGUUAAAUUCAAACCCCAUUCCCCUAACUGUUGCAAGUGAAAUAAUCAAGCAGUGGCUACAUGGCUCCCGAGUAUGCAAUGGAAGGUGUCUUCUCUACCAAGUCAGACGUCUAUAGCUUUGGUGUGUUACUAUUAGAGGUUGUAACCGGCAAAAAGAGAAGCUCAGGCAGUCACACCAUGGGCUUUCCUAGCCUCAUAAUCUAUGUGAGUAAAUACUCCCUCCGUCCCAUAUUAAGUGACUUUUUAUUACAUGUAUCUAGACGCUUUUUAGGUAUAGAUACAUCCAUAUUUGAACAAAUUUGAGUCACUUAAUAUGGGACGGAGGGAGUACAUGUUUUAUUUUAAGUGCCAAAUUAAAGAAAGAAAGUAAGCCAUGUUUCUGAAAGAAAAGGGUUAUUUUCUACAACUCAUAGAGGGCGUUUCAUAUUGUUUCAGUCGUGGAAUAUGUGGAAGGAAGGGAAGGCAAAGGAGUUGGUUGACUCAUCUAUCAUGGACACCAGUUUAAUGGAUGAAGUCUUUCUUUGCAUCCAUGUGUGUCCAGGAAAACCCAGAUGAUAGGCCGCAUAUGUCAUCUGUUGUGUUCGUCCUGGAGAACGGAAGCACCACGCUUCCAACCCCCGAUCUUCCCGCCUACUAUGCACAACAACGCAUUGACUUGGAGCAAAUUAGAAACGAUAUUCUGAACUCCGUGAAUACUUUAACUCUUACCAAUAUUGAAGGGCGAUGAAAUAAUUUGUCUAAAGAUGGGCUAGCCCACGUGUAUGAGCUUGUAGUCUAGUGGUGGAGUGAAAUACUGAAAUAUUUCCUUCCUAUCCAGAGUACAAAAGAGUUGUUGUACUGAAUCUUCGACACUUGUUAUGGAUCGUAUGACAUCAGUUCAGAAAUGGUUGUUCAGUCAUCACUUAAGUUUCAGCAGUGACCUGCAUGCAACACAGCAAACUACGUUUAUCAUGUGCCUCUGGAUUUAUUUAUUUAUUUAUUUUUUUUUAUUUUUUUGCAGGGAUGUGCCUCUAGAUGUUCAUGCUUAAUAACAUGGGUAUUAAACUAGCUGAGAGCUCAGAACUAGAACAAUUGAGGGGCUUGAGGAAACAUCGAAGGAGCACGCUAUAAUCAAAGCACAUAAAUUUCUGCACUUUACUUUUUGCCUCUUACACAAUGCCAAGCAAAGAGCACACGCAGGGAGACUGGAGUGGAGAGGCACGAAGGCAGAGUUAAGAUACCUAACUUGGCAUCUGCUUAGUCUAAAUAAGCAUCAGUGCUUAACAAAAACCGGUUAAUUUUUUUAAGCACCCACCUAGGCAUCUUGCAUUGUACAUGCUCUUAGGGGGUUGGACCACCCUGAGAUUUUCUAAUCAUUUAUAUAACACGGUUAAAAAAAUUCAAAACAUCAAAAUAACUAAAUUAUAUGAAUAUUUUCACUGUUAGACCACCGCGGGGCGCGGGCGAGGGAAACAGAAUGAAGGGAAUGUCGAAGAUGGGCGACGUACAUACAGGUCCGAAGAAGAAGAGCAACAUACAUCAAAUAAAUACACGAGCAGAGUAAUCUAUAAACUCAGAGCAAAUGAAUUUUUGUCAAAGAAUUUAAAAACUCACACAAAAAAUUCUAAAUUUGGAUUAGUGAUACAAAUUAGUUCAAAUAUGGUUCAAAGAGGCUCACUUGGGACCGCAGCUUCUAGCUAGGUUUUCUCAUCUUGCAAAAUCACCACCGUGGAUAAAUCUCCUCCUGAUCGAAUCUCCCGAAUUGGUGACGGUGUUGUUUAAUCAAACUAGAGCACGGCGUCGAGACCGCACAUUAAUAUCUAAAUUUCUCAUCGGUCAUCGGUUGACGCACUCAACCAUGUCGGCCGCCGUCAAGACUGCGGGCGAGCAGUGAUCUGAUCGGUGUACCGUUAUCUUCGCGCCGAAGCAACCACCAAAGUUGAGGCCAUGGACGUGAGGCGUUUACUCGAUGUCCAUGUUGAUGUAGAGUUGCUUGACAUUUCCGUCCUAGUUCUAGUUCUAGAGUUAACUGAGGAUGCUUCUCUUGACGUUAGGCAGCGGGCCCUCAUGAACGACGAGGUGGAUAUAGGCCUCGAGGUCGUGGCAGCAUGAGGCAUCGGCAUCCAACCUAAGGUAUGUCGAUGCCAUGUUGUCAGCCUGAGCUCGCGGCCCAUGUUUGCGUAUCACAGCCUGUCGACAUCGGGAAAGAAGCAGCACAGGAAGACAUCAUGCACAUUCACCACAGGAAGGAUCCGCGCGCCUCCGCACGUUAUAUGGUCACCUACCUACCGCACGUUGUUGGCCACCUGCCUGCCAUGCUACUAAGAGCAAGAUUAAUAAUACAAACAUGUAUAAUGCUGGCUAUUAGCCCAUCAAUAGAAAACAUGUAUAAUAGUUAGCUAUAAGUAUGCACUAUUUUAUGAAUACAUUGCCCGCAUCUCACUCUCAUAGGAAGCCUAGGGGCAUGUGUGAUGCCACCGGCUGUUAGCUAGCAGCCCGCUUCUCUCCUCUCUUCCAUUCAACUCAACAAAAAUAUAGUAUUUAAAAGCUUACAACCUGCCCACGUAACCAUAUUGUACUUGCUCUAAGCUCUCGACUUGCUAUGGUUAGGGAAAUUGAGUACGAAAGAGCGUAUGCAUUCGAGUGAUCGUGUCGGAAAGAUGCAAUCAAUAUCAGCGAUCAUACGACUUGCGAAAGGAAACAAACACAUCCCCAUAUGUGGAGGAGGCCAAGGGUCUGUUUGGAUUGAGCCCCAGAUAGCCCUACCAAAAAAUUGGCAAGCUAUACUUGUUUGGUUUGCAGCCCUAGUGGAGCACCAAUUUUUUGGAAAACGAUUAGGCCACUAUUUGGUUUGCUUACAAGUACAGUUUCUGCAACUUUCAGUUCUUGAACGAGCAGAGAAGAACACCUCAAUCAAUUUAGAUCACUGAAGCAUGUAUAACCUGCUCCAAAUUCUCUUGCACUGGAGCAUCUGCACACCACUAGGAGCAGUACGCCUCCAUCGAUUUAGAAAUAUGUUGACCACAUCGUCGGGAUUUUGAGUUCUUCUCCAACUCCGGCCAACGCCCGCCGCAUCGAUUUCUUUGUUUUCCGGCGGGGUAAAGAUGGAUUCCUUGGGCAUCUAAAAUCAAAGACACAUAAUCUUCAUUUCCCAUCGAUCAAUUUUGAGUUUUGGACCCUGUAGCAUCACUCACGGGGAUGUUGCCGCCGGCCGCCACUUUCGCUGGCCGUAGUUUGCACAGCCGGACAUGCUGAUGCCACCAACGUAUUCCUGGAGUUCCUCUGAUUCCGUUUUGUGCUUAUCCGUCAUCCCCGAUUGCCCCAGAAAAAAACGGGAAAACGCAAGACAUGCAAGAUUAGCGAGAGGUUACGACGAGAAAGAGAGGAGAAUGCGGCUGCCAAAUAUUUGGCGGAGGAUUUCUACGCCCUGGACUCGCCCGCGAGUUGGUGAAAAAGCACGGGCGCGCUCGGGCGAGAGUUGGCUCACCAAAUUAUCGGUCACAGUCCAAACAACGGCCAAAUGUCACGGGCGUACCAAUUUUUUGGUAAGGCUUGCGUUGGCCAUAAACCAAACGUACCCCAAGUACACAACAAAAUACUGAAUUGUGGGAGUAUAUGGGCUGGAGUAAUGGGUCGAUUAUUAAAAUUUUGGACUGAAUUGUGGGAGUAUAUGGGCUGGAGUAAUACAUCAGUUACAGAUGUGUGGACGUGUGGUUUUAUGCAUCAAUGGAGAGUUUGAAGAAAAAAAAAAUAUUACAAGUCUGGAGGACUUAGCCACAUGGAAGAAUAAUUGAACCCCAUCAUGUAGUAUCCUGUCCUCUUCACACCAUCACCGAUACUUCGGUCUUCCCUGCAAUACAUACGGUCACCACUGCCCGAUGUCAGCGAGUAGAUCUGGUCGCGCGGCAACUCCUUCUCCUUAUUAGAGAAGGUGGGGCGAGAGUAGUAGAUGUGGUUUCUCUCCAAACCGCGUCGUUGGACGCCCAACGGCACGUGCACCGCCUUAGACCGCAGCAGCCCCCAAAACAAGGCAUAGUUGUCGAAGCUCGUAACCUCUUCCCAUUUGCAGUCGCCGGAGUCAGCAUCGACAAGCUUGAAGACCUUAAAGAAGGCUUCGCGGUUAGGCAGCCACCGGGUCCUCACAGCCAUGGACAGUUUACCCUGUAGCUCGAAGAUGUGGCCGGCGUAUUGCACGGGUUCAUCCCGCCUGGUGGGGCCAUCACGCCUUUGAAUGGCCAGCACGUGUGUGGCUGUGACCACCGGCGAGCCAUCUUCCUCCCAGCCGAUUGUAAACUUGAUGAGCUCCUCAUCCGGUGCAAGAAGUGUUGGAAUUUUGGGUUAGGCCCAAGGUCCAAUCUGAAAUUAAUUCCUGAAAAAUCUCAAAAGCCCAUUCAUGGAGUGGAAUGAGGAAGUGGGAAUAGUCCCACCUAGCUAGUUUAGGAGAGUUGGAUCAAUAUAUAAGAUAUGUUGGUUCUAACCUCUUGAACAAGUGAGCAAGGUAAAUCCCCACGCGCGCUCAUCCUCCUCCUCCUCCGCUCGCCUCGCCCCACGCCACGCCACGAGUUUCGUGGAUCGAUUUGGUCGGUGCGGUGCAGGGUCGUGCUUAUCUUGUUUUCCAUCCAGUCGACUGCGUGCAUAGAUCGUCGGGAGAGCAGGCCUCUGGAACCCCGACCUUCGAGAUCCUGUCCGAGAGACUGUCGAUAAGGUUUUUGGGAAGCGUUCUCAUGCGACUGCUCGCUUCUUCACGUCCCUGUUUCAUCGGCAUCUUCAUCACCAAUGGCCGAUGACCUCGGAGAUCCUGCGGCUCAGACUGCCGCUCUAGCUCAGCAGCAGCAGGCUGCCCAACUCCAAGCCCAGGCAAUUGCUGCUGCACAGGCGCUGGCCGCUGCCCAGGAGGUAGUCAAGACUGCUGCUGCUGCCGGCAUGAACAUCGACGCCGCCGGACUCGUCACCGACCUCAACAAACAAACACAAGAAAAGAGUACAACACUGUACGUCUGCUCUUUCUUGUUGAUUUUGAUUAGUAGUUCUAUUAUUCAUGUCGUGAAAUUAGAUGAGUUUUAUUAAUGUGCGUUGCUAUUUAAUUUGUCUAGUUUGCAUGAUAUAAUAUGCUACAUGUUUUACACAUUGUUUUUCUGGAUUAAAUAUUCAUCGAAAUUACCUAAUUAUUCAACAAUCCAAAAACCUUAUUCGUGUAGCCAAUUUUCGAUGUCUCAAUUUGCUGUCGCAUUGAAACCACCUGUGUUUACUGGACUGCACUUUAAGAGGUGGCAGUAUAAAUGUCAUAUGUGGCUCGUGGCUAUGGGCGCAUGGUGGGCGGUACAACACGGGAAGACUCAAACAAUUGCUCCUCAACAGUUGUAUGUUGAGGCUUGUGUUGUAGUCGUCGGUGUGAUCUGUAGUAUGCUGGGAGAUAAGCUCGUUGAUGCUUAUCUACACUAUCAGGAUGCCAAAGAGUUGUGGGAUGCGCUCGAUGCUAAGUUUGGCGCAUCUGACGCCGGCAGUGAGCUGUACAUCAUGGAGCAGUUCUUUGACUAUAAGAUGGUUGCAAACCGAUCUGUAGUGGAACAAGCUCAUGGGUUACUGACUAUGGCUAAGGAACUUGAGCAAUUCAAGUGUCCACUACCCGACAAGUUUGUCGCCGGGGGCAUCAUGGCCAAGCUUCCUCCCUCGUGGAGGAACUUUGCUACUUCACUAAAACACAAGAGACAAGAAAUCUCUGUGGAGAACCUGAUUGGGACUCUUGAUGUUGAGGAGAAGGCGAGAGCAAAAGAUGCUGGCCCCAAAGGCAACACGCAAGAGGGUACGUCCACUGCCAACAUGGUUCAGAGGAACAACCACAACAACAGUAACAGCAAGGGAAAGGGAAAGGCAUUCAACAAUGCUGGUCCAAAAAACACUACCACUUUCAAGAAGAAGAAGAAAAGAGGCAACAAGGACAAGGAUCCUUACUUUGUGUGCGGAGGACUCGGCCACUGGGCGAGUAACUGCAAGGAGCGCAAAGGAGGACAGAUUCGGCAAAAGUUUGCUAAUUUGACCAUUGGUAACAAUGAAGAUGCAGGUGGGUAUAGUCAUUUAUUUACUGUAUUUUCUGUAUGUCAGUCCACCGAUUGGUGGUCAAUACAGGUGCAACUAUUCAUGUGUGUGCUGAUAUUUUCUUGUUUUCUUCAUAUCAGGCCAUCAGCUCCUCAGUGACGAUGGGGAACGGCGCUCAUGCUUCUGUUCAUGGUGUUGGCACGGUGGAUCUGAAGUUUACUUCGGGAAAGAUCGUGCAGCUGAGGAACGUGCAGCAUGUGCCCUCCAUUCAGAAGAAUCUUGUUAGUGGAUCCCUCCUUUGCAAGGACGGAUUUAAGUUAGUGUUUGAGUCCAAUAAAGUUAUUGUGUCUAUGUAUGGACAAUUUAUUGGUAAAGGUUAUGAGUGUGGAGGCUUGUUCCGCUUAUCCCUUUCGGAUUUUUGUAAUAAGGUCGUGAACCGCGUCAAUUGUAUUAAUAAUGAGUCUAAUGUUUGUCAUUCAUGACUUUGUCACAUUAAUUUUAGUUGCAUGAUGCGAUUAGCAAAUCUGAGUUUAAUCCCUAAAAUCACUGUGGCUAAAGAUUCGAAGUGCCAAACUUGUGUGCAAGCGAAGCAGCCUCGCAAGCCUCACAAGGCUGCUGAGGAGAGGAACCUAGCACCAUUAGAACGCAUACAUUCUAAUCUUUGUGAGAUGAACGGUGUAUUAAUCAAAGAUGGAAAACGUUACUUUAUGACUUUCAUUGAUGAUGCGACUAGAUUCUGUUAUGUGUAUUUAUUAAAAUCAAAGGAUGAAGCAUUGCAUUAUUUCAAGAUCUAUAAAGCUGAAGUCGAGAAUCAACUUGAGAAGAAAAUUAAACGUUUGCGGUCUGACCGCGGUGGAGAAUAUUUCUCCAGUGAGUUUAAUUCAUUUUGUGAGGAACAUGGCAUAGUCCAUGAGAGGACACUUCCCUAUUCGCCCCAGUCAAACGGGGUUGCUGAGAGGAAAAUCCGCACGCUGACUGACUUGGUCAACGCCAUGUUAGACACUGGUGGUUUAUCCAAGGCAUGGUGGGGGGAGGCGCUAUUAACUUCGUGUCAUGUCCUAAAUCGUGUUCACACAAAAGAUAAAGUCACCCCAUACGAGCUAUGGGAAAAGAAGAGACUCACACUUUCUUACUUACGGACUUGGGGUUGUUUGGCGAAAGUCAAUGUGCCAAUUACCAAGAAACGUAAGAUUGGACCAAAAACCGUUGAUUGUGUCUUUCUUGGCUACGCACUUCGGAGUGUUGGCUAUAAAUUCUUGGUUGUAAAUUUUGGAGUACCUGACAUGAGCGUUGGUACAAUUAUGGAGUCCAGGGAUGCUACAUUCUUUGAGAACAUAUUUCCCAUGAGAGAUAUGCAUAGCACAUCUAGAGAGGAUCAUGAUGUACCUGCUGAACCCGUCAGUUCAGAGGAACAUCAGGAUCAUGGUGUAGCUCCUGAACCCGCCAUCCUAGUGAAAAAUCUUGAACAAACACUUGAUGAGAUUCCUGAGGAGUAUGACAAUGAAGCCCCUAUUAGGGGUAAGUGACAAAGGAUUGCUAAAUCCUUUGGUGAUGAUUUCAUUGUUUACCUUGUGGAUGACACCCCUAAAACCAUUAAUGAGACUUUUGCAUCUCCGGAUGCAGACUAUUGGAAGGAAGCCAUUCGUAGUGAGAUGAAUUCUAUCAUGGCUAAUGGUACUUGGGAGGUCGUUGACCGUCCGUACGGGUGCAAACCUGUAGGAUGCAAGUGGAUAUUAAAAAAAACUUAGGCCUGAUGGUACUAUUGAGAAGUACAAGGCGCGGCUUGUGGCCAAGGGUUUUACACAGAAAGAAGGUGAUGAUUUCUUUGAUACUUACUCACCUGUAGCUCAAUUGACCACAAUUAGAGUAUUACUAUCACUGGCUGCCUCAUAUGGUCUGAUCGUCCAUCAAAUGGACGUUAAGACAGCUUUCCUUAACGGAGAGUUGGACGAGGAAAUUUACAUGAAUCAGCCAGAUGGAUUUGUAAUAAAGGGUCAUGAAGGCAAAGUGUGUAAGUUAUUAAAAUCUCUAUAUGGCCUGAAACAAGCUCCUAAGCAAUGGCAUGAGAAGUUUGACAAAAUUUUAACAUCUGCCGGCUUUGUUGUAAACGAAGUUGACAAAUGUGUAUACUACUGCCAUGAGGGGCGGGGGUGAGGGAGUUAUACUUUGUUUGUAUGUCGAUGACAUACUAAUAUUUGGGACUAACCUCAAAGUGAUUGAAGAGGUUAAGACUUUCUUGUCGAAGUGCUUUGACAUGAAAUAUCUUGGUGUAGCUGAUGUUAUUCUGUACAUCAAGCUCGUGAGAGGCGACAAUGGUGAGAUCACUUUGUUACAAUCUCAUUAUGUGGAAAAGAUCUUGAGUCGUUUUGACUAUGCUGAUUGUAAACCUUCUACAACUCCUUAUGAUCCAAGCAUUCUGCUUCGAAAGAAUCACAGAAUUGGAAGAGACCAACUGAUAUAUUCUCAGAUUAUUGGUUCACUCAUGUAUUUGGCUAGCACAACUACACCUGACAUCUCUUUUGCUGUGAGUAAACUGAGUCGGCUCAUUAAGAAUCUGGGAGAUGAUCAUUGGAGUGCACUCGAGAGGGUCAUGCGCUAUUUAAAGGGCACAAUGAGCUAUGGUAUACACUAUACUGGGUACCCCAAGGUACUUGAGGGUUAUAGUGAUUCAAAUUGGAUAUCUGAUGUUGAUGAGCUAAAGGCCACUAGUGCAUAUGUGUUCACACUCGGAGGGGACGCUGUUUCAUGGAAGUCUUGCAAGCAAACGAUCUUAACCAGAUCAACAAUGGAAGCAGAACUUUCAGCAUUAGAUACAUUCACGGCUGAAGCCGACUGGCUUCGUGAGCUCUUGAUGGACUUGCCGAUUGUUGAAAAACCAAUACCAGGGAUUCUUAUGAACUGUGACAAUCAAACUGUGAUAGUGAAAGUGAACAGUUCUAAAGAUAACAUGAAGUCAUCAAGACACUUCAGGAGACGUCUGAAAUCUGUCAGAGCAAUGAGAAAUUCCGGAAUAAUAGCAUUGGGAUAUAUCCCAACGGCUAAAACUCUGGCAGAUCCCUUUACAAAGGGUCUAUCAAGGAAUGUGAUAGAAUCUGCAUCAAGGGAGAUGGGGUUGCGACCCACGUGAGUUACCAUGGCGGUAAACCAACCUAUGUGAUCGGAGAUCCCGUGAAUUGGGACCUGGGAAACAAGUCAUUGGAUAACUGAGGAGAGUGUACAUUCUUUAUCCCACUCCGUUGACGAUGCAUUACUCUCGUGUACUGUAUGGUAGGUUGUUAACUUAAUGUGUUCUAACGCGUUACAUUAAUUUGCAAGGGAGAUACUGUCCUACAGAGUAGUCUCUAAAGAACACACCUAUAUGAACCUGACUGUCGGUCGCAGUCUAUGAGAUUUAGGUGGUCUCUAGUAAGCUCAUGAAAAGGCCUGGAGAAUGACUUAUAUGCUCCACACCGCGGGAUAGCAUUCGGCAGCCUAAUACCAGACAACAAUUUAGUGAAGCUCUAAUACAGAAAACUGACAAUUCAAGAUUUGUCCAUUGUUCAGUUGUGUGUGAGUGAAGCUAUUUGUUUAGGUGGAUAUUCAACCUUAACCAGUCUCCACUGAAACGCUGAUAUAUCAAAAACAGAGUUUUGGAUCAAUGGCAAUUUUAUGUGCUUAUGAGAUAUUGUGGAGGAUUGUUGGAAUUUUGGGUUAGGCCCAAGGCCCAAUCUGAAAUUAAUUCCUGGAAAAUCUCAAAAACCCAUUCAUGGAGUGGGAUGAGUAAGUGGGAAUAGUCCCACCUUGCUAGUUUAGGAGAGUUGGACCAAUAUAUAAGGUAUGUUGGUUCUCAACUCUUGAGCAAGUGAGUAAGGGAAAUCCCCACGCGCGCUCCUCCUCCUCCUCCGCUCGCCUCGCCUUGUCACGACGCGCGCGCGCCGCGUUUCGUGGAUCGAUUUUGAGUCGUGCCGGGCCAGGCCGGGGCAGGGUCAUGCUUAUCUUUUUGGCAAUCGGAAUCCGUUCCGGACGCGUAACAAAUCCCGAUAAUUGCGGAGUCGGUUUUGGUUUUUUAAACCGAACCGAAGUCCGCCUACAUGCCGAUAUAAUAAGACGACCGCGACCGCGGCCUCCGGACGUAUGACGCCACAACCCUAGCCAUCACGGUCACGAUCCAAUCUCGCUGUUCGCCGCCAACUGCUACUCCAUCCCGUCGACUGCGUGCAUAGAUCGUCGGGAGAGCAGACCUCCGGAACCCCGACCUUCGAGAUUCUGCCCGGGAGACGGUCGAUAAGGUUUUUGGUGAGCGUUCUCACGCGACUGCUCGCUUCUUCACGUCCCUGUUUCGUCAGCAUCUUCAUCACCAAUGGCCGACGACCUCGGAGAUCCUACAGCUCAGGCUGCCGUUCUAGCUCAGCAGCAGCAGGCUGCCCAACUCCAAGCCUAGGCAACUGCUGCUGCACAGGCACAAGCGCAGGUGCUGGCCGCUGCCUAGGAGGUAGUCAAGGCUGCUGCUGCUGCCGGCGUGAACAUCGACACCGCCGGACUCGUCACCGACCUCAACAAACAAACACAAGAAAAGAGUAUAACACCGUACCUAAUCUGUUUUUUCUUGUUGAUUUUGAUUAGUAGUUCUAUCAUUCAUGCCGUGAAAUUAGAUGGGUUUUAUUGCUGUGCGUUGCUAUUUAAUUUGUCUAAUUUGCAUGAUAUAAUAUGUUACAUGUUUUACAAAUUGUUUUUCUAGAUUAAAUAUUCAUCAAAAUUAUCUAAUUAUUCAACAAGAAGGUCAAGGCCAUGCGCAAGGGUAAGGCCAUAGAGAUCACCGUUGCAGAAGGCUAUAUCUAUGAAAAUCCUCUUGCGCCAACCAGACUCCUGGGCGGCCCUGGCCCAGCCGCUGUGGGAGCCAACUUUGCACAGCGCGACGUUGAGCCAAUCCUCGGUGAUGGCGGCGAGCAAGCAGCCGUCGGAGGUGGGUGCUUGGGAAAAGAUGAGUUUCGGGAUGGUGUUUUCCCUAGGAUCGCCACCUGGCGCGAUCCAGUAGGGGGAAGGGAACAUGCUCUGCUUCGGGGAGAGAACCCACCUCAACGCCGGAGAAGAGGUUCACGAUCACGAGCUCGCGGUUGUUGAACGCCGGGACCCAGCCGCCGUCGUGGGAGCCAGUCAGGAGCUUCCUGGCCACCUUGCUCGGGACGCGCAAGACACAACAACUGUCCUCGUUGGGGCCGCACAGGUGCUUCGUCUCGCUGCGGCAGCGUUGGGAGAGGAGCAGCAGUGGGGCUGCGGGCUGCGCCGUCGGGAGGAAAGCCUCAAGUGGACCAUGCCGACGAGGUCGUCGCAGAGGUCGGACCACCGCGCUGACGAUUCUGUGCUGCCGUUCCCGGCGGUCAUCCGCAGAGGCGAUUCGAUGAUAGAUCACGUGUACCGUGGUAUUUGGCGAGUGUACCGACCUGUAAGUCCGCUAACGCAAAGCGAGGAGUUGGUACUAGUCUAUCGGCCGAACAUCAAAUCUAUAGCCGAAUAGAUUUGUUCGAGUAUGAUUGAACAAAUCUACAGCCGAAUAGACAAAUCCGACCGUUCGUAGGAUCGACAACUUUUGUUCUCUGAGAUAAACAAUCAAGGUCUCGUACAGGCUAUACAGCCGUCUUGGCGUUGCAGGCGCGGCCGCAAUCCAGCCAGCGCGUGCCGGAGGGGCCUCUCAACGGAGGACGCGGUCGGUCUGCCGGUCCAUCACGUUGGGCGUUGGGCGUUGGCCGUCACGUACUUGACUUGAGCGACAUGAGUUCGAUGGACGAUGCCUCCUCUUCAAGCAAAUACUCCGUACUUGUGAAAUGUGAGCUCUUAUUUCAGAUGAAAUGUUGUGUUGUCAACUUGUCAAGGUGCCGUGUAACGCCUCCUCGCUUCCUUCUUCCUCCUCGGGCUCACCGGGUGAGCCAAGCAACCCGCUCGCUGGAUGUCAGACACACUGAUCGGCUGAGGAAAUGCUGCUUUGCUUGCAGUUUUUGUGUUCUUGUGCAUCUGUGAUCUGCGUAAGUCACAGUGAUCGGCUGAAGCAAUACUCCCUUGCCUGAUUCCCCUCUUUUCCCUCUGUUUCAAUCUCUCUAUCCGUUCCCCUUUUUCUACAGUCUGUUGCGACAUGGAGGAGAAGAGUUUGAUUCGGUCGACACUGGGAAAUUUCAUCCAGAAUAUGAUUGGUAGGCCCAAGAAAAAAAUGGUUUCAGAAGAGACAAGGUGUUCUAUCAAAAUGCCAAUCAAAAAUGUGUUAUUUUGACUUAGUUUGACACUGAUGAAUUGGACUGCAAUGAAAAAGUACAUAUGAAAGAAGAAAAAGGUUGGAUAGUCAAAAAACAAAGUCAGAAUAUGGUUGGAAAAACUUAAUUAUCAUAAUCCACCACAAUGCUGCGAAACCAACCCUUUGUCUAAGACAAAGAAAGAUGUGCACAUUUUGAUUGCUGAUGAUCUUGGCUAAUUUUUUUUAAAUAAUACUAUUUUUUUAAUCAUUUUUAAAAAUAAUACGUGUUUUUUAAAAAUUUCAAAAAUAAUGCGGCCUCGGCCUAGGCGAGGCCGAUUGAGCUCAGUCGGCCUCGGCCAGGCCGACUGCAGGCCGCCUGCUCAGCCCGCGAGGCCCCCACGAGGCAGUCGGCCUGGCCCAAGCCGACUGAAACCUAGGCCAACUGGCCCAGUUGGUUUCGGCCAGGCCGACUGGAUUCAGUCGGUUUGGGCCAGGCCGAUUCGAAGUAAUUCCAUUUUUUGUUUCGGAUCCUUGCGGUCUUUUGAACUAAAAUACUCAACUUGGAUAAAAGUAACACACCGAAUCCGAUCAGAAGUAAUUAGAUUUCGCCGCGAGUUCGUGCAUGAUCAACGCAUACACAGCCGAAGCUCAUUUUUGUCUCGAAUCCUUGCGGUUUUUUGAACUAAAAGACUUAACAACUUGGAUAAAGAGUAACAUACAUCGAUAAUUUGCUGGACAAUUUUUGUGUCGAUUCUUUGCGGUUUGUUUGAACUGGAAGACUUGACAUUUGGAUAAAUUUGGAUAAAUUAACAUACAUCGAUAAUGUGCUGGUUACAGAACCAAGGCAUGACUAAAUUAACAUACAUUGGUAAUACCGCAAUUGGACAUAAUUAAAGAUAGCAAAUACAUUUGAAACACAAGCACUACUGAGUCCACUUAGCCAUUUUCCGCUCGUAUCGCCACGUCCUUCUGCAGCCUUUGCCACGGCGGCCCUUUCUCUUUGCCUCUCCCUUUCUGCCUCACGAGCAUCCUUGCGACUUUGUUCCUCCUCUUGCAUCUCAAGUGCUUUCUCCCUGUUUUUCCUAAGUGCUUCAUCAAUCCAACGACGUUGUUCCUCCCUAUGCUCUUUCAUCUCUCUCUCUUGCUCCUCUUUCUCCUGGUCUGAAGCUUUUUCCACAUGCUUCUCCGCGUGGAAACACUGCCAUGCAUUUCGGGACCUUGUUUUGAUCUCUUCCACCGCCCAAUCCGGCAUCUCCGUGUCAUCCUCCUCGGCCUCUCGCCCUGGUCCGAGCAAGGCAAACUCAUCGGGGUCACUGGAAUAUUGGAAAAAACAGUAGUGGGAAGGAUGCUUGGAUGACUACCGGAGAUGAGGUAUUUAUAGGCUCUCAAACUCAUUCUCCCGGCACCGUUUCCCGCCUCGUUUUCCCGCCAGCGUUUCCCGCCUCCUUUUCCCACCACCGUUUCCUGCCUUUUUCCCGUCACUGUUUCCCGUCUAUUUGUAUCUUCUGUAACUAUAAAAGACCGUCCAUGGUAUUGAAGUGUAGUCUCACCAUUUCAUCUGGGAAGAUGUCGUCCGGCUUCCCAGAUGAUCGUAGAUUUUGGUCAGGUAUGUCCCGAGAGCUAUUGUGGUUAGCAGGUGAUUUCAAGGUAGACAAUAGGAUAGUUUCAUGGGACGAACUCAUUAGUAGUGACACCCUACUAACUGAGCUGAGCCACCAAUUAUAUAGGUGCAAUUUUCCAUUGAGGACUUCUGCAGAGAUACGGCAAGAACUGCUAAGGUUGCACGAAAGGUGGAAGAAGCACAGUGAACGUAAGAGUGAGUCAUACCUACAAUGGGCUAGAAAACAUCCGUGUUAUGGGUUGAAGAGGAGGAAUCCGAUGAAGAUAUCUUCAUGCCAAGCAAAACGGGUAAGAGUUCUUCAUCGUCCAAGGGGAAGAGUACUGCACCAUCGAAGCGAAAGAGCACAUCAUCGUCCAAGGGGAAGAGUACAUCAUCGUCCCAUGAAGAUAUCUUCAUGCCAAGCAAAACGGGUAAGAGUUCUUCAUCGUCCAAGGGAAAGAGUACUGCACCGUCGAAGGGGAAGAGCACAUCAUCGUCUAAGGGCAAGAGCACUUCAUCUUCGUAGAGUUAGAAUUAGGUUAUCUUAUUUUAAGUUGUCGAUUUUAAUUUCAGUCUUUCUAUUGCAUAUAUAUUUCAGUCCUGCCAUUUUUUAUAUGCAAAUGUAACUUGAAUAAGAAUGCGAAAAAUAGUAACAUGUAUCUCUCAUACAUAGGUAGAAAUAUGUCUCAUACAUAGAUAGAAAUAUGUCUCAUACAUAGGUAGAAAUAUGUCUCAUACGUAGGACCUACAUGCAAAUAUCAGGCACGGUGUCUGGGACGGCGUUCCGGGGGUGCCUAUGGCGUGGUCCAGCCAUACCUAUGAGGUGGCACAACGUUGCGCGGAGGAAUCACGGACCCAUCCUCACGAUACUGUGUAUCCUCCUGUGUGGGGUCUGGUCGCGGAGUACUGAACAUCCAGCUGUGUUGGAGAGAAUAGUGCUCUCCUCGAGCGUGAUCCUGCUCACUAUCCCACGAGGGUUCGGACAACGACGACUGAUGCCCGUAGGGUCCUGCAUGUGGGAAAGUACUUAGCAUUAGAAUUGUGUAGCAAUCAUGGUAAUGAACACAAUAGAUAGAAAUAUACAUACCCUGUGGCUGGGUCUGUGGACGAAACUCGAAGUUCAUCCUGCGACUCUGCUGGUGCUGCCACGCCGAACCUCUAGCCUGAAAAGAGGGGGGCUGCUGCUGCCACACCGAACCUCCAGCCUCAAAAGAGGGCUGCAGCUGGUGCCAAUAGUUGAAAGAAGACUGCGGCUGGUGCCACGACGAACCUCCGGCCUGCUCAGGAGGUGGUGGCCUGGGCGUCGACUGCUCUGGUAGACGUGGACGCGGGUGGUGUCGGGGGAGCGGUGCUUCCUGCUGACAUGGCCGCUGCUGGUGCGUGGAGUGACGAGGUGGCCGUACGGAUGCCUGGUGGUGAACGACGUCCGAAGUGCAGGUGCACGUGAUAGCCGCGUAAACAGAGCGUAGCUUCUCCUUCAUUCGUCUAAGCCAGGACUGGUGCGGCUCCCGUGGUAGUAGAAGUGGACCGGUCGAAAGCGAACGUCCAUACGCAGCGAACUCGGCCUGUAAAUUCUGUGUCAACUGAGCCUGCAAUUGGCACGAAGAGUAUUACAUAUAUAUGGCAAAGUACGUAACAAACACAUGCAUUAUGUUAAGAGAAGAUACUUACCGCGUGCUGUCUAGAGCCUGAAGUAGACUGGCUAGGGUACAUAUCUUGCAAACUCGGCUCGGCUAUCUCCUGGGGGUGAGAGUGCUGAAUGAUGCUCAAUCGGGUAGCUGUCAUGUACCUCUGCAAAUAUCCGUUGAAUAGAUCAAGAUCAAAGGCCUCCAAUGGCCAAACCCGUGUCGUCGCAGUCUCCCACUCUGUGACGUACGACUGAACCCUCUGCAGUCACUGAGUCAGGGUCCUGGUACUUCCCUUCCUGGUAAACCUGAGAUCGCAAUAGAAAGUUGAACAAUUAAAUUAUGGAUAAUUCUGGACGACAAUCAUAAAUUGCAGAACUGCACAUACCUGUGGACGAUCUGUGGAAGUGGAUCAUCCGUCGGUGGAGGAACGACCAACCGGCGUGCCCCAAACUACCUCAUGACCCUCUGCUGGGCCAUCUCCUCCAUGCAGACGUCGAAGAUGAUCUUUGAUUUUGUCAUCCAGUAAGCAUAAUCUCUCGUGCAGACCGUGGACAUCCCGCCAGGGUAUCUAUCAUCGAUGGCAUCUUGUGUGUACGGCUCCUAGACAACCGCCUCAGAGUGCAACACGUCGAACUGCUCGUUGAAUGAUGGGUAGCAAUUCCUGACCUGAUCGUGUGCAAAGCGUCUCUGUAAAAAAAAGAAGUUAGCUUCAUUCAUGGUUUAUGUAAACUAAUGUAUGAAUUUCACAUUCGACAUACCUUGCUACGUGUCCAAAUUGUCGCGAAAGUAGGCAGGUCGAUGUGUUCUAAGUCAAACAACUCCUGCUCAGGGUUAGGGUGAUCACCCGUAACGUCUGGUCGGCCGAUAGAAAACCUCUCCCACGACCAGAGCUGCAACAAUAAAGGACAUCCAAGCAGGGCUGACUUGGGCGACGCAAGCUGGCAAGCGUUGCACAUACCUCGGUACGUAGCCGCUAAGACGGCCGAACCCCAACUCCUCUGUGUGAUGUCGUCACCACAAGUUGCAUUCGCGAUCUCCACUGCAAUAGGGAUGUAGCGUGCGCUAAUGGUGGUGACGUGGUUCUCGGUGAACAUCACCUCCCGAGAAGCCACAUUAUAUAUGCCUCAAGGCUCCGAGUGAUCUGAGGCUCAGUCAUUUGGGUCUCUGUAUACCCAAACUUCUGAAUCUGCAUGCAACAAAAACCAAGUGUUAGUAAACCCAUGCAAGUAUAUGAGGUAUGCUCUUAGAUAUAUUAACUUAAAACACAUCGAUCUAACCUGGUAAUUAGGCAACCAAUCUAGCUUAGGUCCGUGAGCCUCCGAGGUAGGGGCUCAGCUCCGGCAAGAAUACCUUGAAAACGUAGGGAACAAAUUAACCCAUAGUUCCACAUAGCGUACAAAUUAAAACACAGGGCACAAAUUAACACAUACCUUGAAAGCGUAGUGCCAUACCCUCCUGCCAAUCAGCUGGUGCCUGCAACGGUCCUAUGGGAUCACCCACCAAUGGUAGUCCCAGCAGCAUCGAGACAUCCUGGAGAGUAGGAGCUAUCUCUCCCCAGUGAAAAUGAAACGUGUGUGUCUCGGGCCUCCAUCUGUCCACUAAGCAGCUCAGCAGCAAGUGGUCAAUUUGUAGCCGUGUAGAGUUGAAACCUCGUCGCUCACCCUCUACCAUUUCCGCACAAGUUGCCCCAACAAGUCGUGCGAAAGGUAAAAGGCCAGCCCACUUCAAACUGCAUAAAUAAAAUGGACAUGCAAGGGAUGAAUAAAUAAAAUGUAAAUGCAAGGGAUGAUUGAAUAAAAUGUACAUGCAAGGGAUGAAUAAAUAAAAUAGACAUGCAAGGAAUGAAUAAAUAAAAUGUAAAUGCAAGUGAUGAUUGAAUAAAAUGUACAUGCAAGGAAUGAAUAAAUAAAAUGGACAUGCAAGGGAUCAUUGAAUAAAUACCGCUGAAUCCAGGCAGGGUGUAUCAUCCAUUUUCCCUUAGGAGUGCGCGUGACAAGGGGCUCGACACUCUCAGGAUGCGCCACCAAUCGAGCAGCCUGAUGCUUACUCUCAAUCUCCGGAGAAAGCAAUGAUACUCUCUCCAUUUUGUGCCUGCAACAUUUAUAAACAAAGUUAGACAUACAAAUUAAAGUUAAGCAUAGUUAAACCGAGAGUACAUAUUAAAACAUAGUUGAACAAAGCGUACAAAUUAACACACAGUUCCACACAGAGUACAAAUUAAAACAAAGGGCACAAAUUAACACUUAGUUUCAGAUAGUACAAAUUAAAGCUUAGUUCCACAUAGAGUACAAAUUAAAACAUAGAGCACAAAUUAACACAUAGUUUCACAUAUAGUACAAAUUAAAACAUAGAGUACAAAUAAAAACAUAGAACACGAAUUAACACAUAGUUUCACAUAUAGUACAAAUUAACACAUAGUUUCACAUAUACAUGAUAAGCCUAGUUUCUUCCUCUCCCUCGUCGUCCACGUCUCCCUCUUCUACGGGCAGUAGCUCCACCAGUACCGAAAGUUGGACAAUAAGUGUCCCUGUGGCCAAAAUGGUUGCAUAGAAAACAUUGUCGUGACGGUCCUCCGGCUUCAGAUUCAUCCAUAUCAUUUCGGGUGCACCUGAACGGGCGUCUGCCUGUGCCUGUACGCAGUAGCCCGGGGUCAGGAAUGUACCGCCUUUCACCAGGGGUUACCUUGUUGAAAUUGCCCAUUGCACAAAACCCUAGCAUCUCACCCGUCCAUGUGCUAGGCACAGACUCUUUCAGGUAAUAGGGAGACACAAAUGAGAUUGCGUCCAUCCCUAGCUGCCCGCAAGCAACAAGUACAUGUGAGCAACGAAGGUGAAGCAACUUUGGUUUGUUGCAGGUGCACUCACACGUUGGCCACGCUUCAUUUCCAAUCUUCACCUCCUGUGUCCUCAAUUCAUUUCCAACGCCGAACUUGUCAGUUGGCAAGCGCACCUCAAACCUAUGUUCUUGAUUACCGAUGGCGACGACAGUAUGAGACGUAGCUUUUCCAUCUUCUCAUCCAUGUACUUCAUAAUCUUUUCACGGUACGGUGUAUUUGGGUUGUUCAUGAUAUGCAUUUCAGCUCUCUGGCGUCUAUCUCUGAAAUACUUCACCGUGCCAUGGAAAAUACCCUCGACGAUGGCUGUAAGUGGUAAAGCCCUAUUUCCCCUCAGGACAAAGUUGUAUGUUUCUGCCAGGUUAGUAGUCAUGACGCCGUACCUAGCGCCAUGUGUGUCAUGCAGCAAAGACCACCACUCCAGAGGCUUGUGCUCUAUCCACUGCUGAAAGUUUUUAAUCUGCCUCCCAACCCUUCUCCUAGUGCCGGGUGGGUCAAACCCUGGCAAGUCACAAAGCCCAACAAGUUCUUCCUCAGAUGGUCCUGUUCCAACUGCUGUCUGUGCAGCCACUGCUGCUACAUGUGCUGCUACCGCUGCGUUUCGUGCCGCUGUCCUCUCCCUAACAUGUUUCUUCUUGAACUCAUCAAGAUAACCACGUAUCCUAGUGUACUUCCAUUGUUGGUUCUGUUUGCAGAGUUUCUUGAAUAGAUUCAUAAGUGACUUGUUCCUGAACUGCGAGAAGAAGUUGGCCCCCAAAUGCCGCAUGCACCAACGACUCUGCAUGUCCUGCCAUGGAGUCUGUUCAUCAGGCUCAGGGUUUGUCAGUGUCCUUAUCACACUAAGUAUGCCUGCAUGUCUGUCAUGAAGGAUGCACACAUUCGGCUUAAUCAUGCACAAUUGCUCUCUUGAGCUGCCUGAAAAACCAUAACCAACUUUAAGUUUUCUCACCCUCCACGAAAGCAAAUGCGAGCGGAACGAUUUGAUAGUUGCCGUCUUGACCAAUGGCGGUCAAGAUCUGCCCCCUGUAUUUGCCAGUGAGAAAAGUACCAUCUAUGCAUAACACCAGUCGACAAUGAUGGAAAGCUUGAACGCAUACACCGAAAGUGAAGAACAGUCGUUGCAGCACCCUCACAGUUGGAUACUCUGAGUGCAGGAAGUGUUGGAUGUCGACAUAGGUGCCUGGAUUACGGGCUUGCAGUGUAUGGAGGAGGCGGACAACAGAGUCGUACGAGUCGAAAAACGAACCAAAUCUUUCCUCAAGAGCCCUCUGCUUAGCCCUCCAAGCCUUGCCAUACGAAAUGUUGUACUUAAACCUUACCCUGACCUUAUGCAUGAUGGCCUUCACUUCCAUUGCUUUGCUCUCCACUAUCUCCGUGUAAAGCAACCGAGCAAGAAGCGUCGACGAGAGGUUACGAUGGUCUUGAGGGAUACUGGGAAUGACACAUGUGUGCAACAUCAAGUCACUCACAACCCAAUCUGUGUCAUACUUAGGAACAUAGCCAUGCACCCUCCCGGGACAAUCUACUUGUUCACACUCCAUUGUAAGAUAUUUUUGUGAAGAGACUGUUGUUUUGAAAACCCUUUGCGUGGACAUUGCCCAAGCAAUUAUCGCAUCCUGCAGAUGUUUCUUGUCAGCAAAUCUGGCACCCUUCGCAAUGUUGUUCUGAUGAUAUUGUCAUGCAGAGUCGUGCCCAUCGUUCACGGUCAUAGCUGAAGAGAAGUGUUGAUUCCAUGAUGCAGGAGUCGGCACCUCCUCUUUGUCCGACUCAUGAGACUCAUCGUCAUAAGAACUACGGCCAUAUGUAUCUUCAUCCUCCAUCUCGUUCUGCAAGUGACCAUCUUCUUCGUCCGCAUCUGCCUCGCCAGUGUACUCAUCCUCUCCUACUGCCCCGGAGCUCUGGCCUGAUUCAUAACCACCACCUCCAGUAUUCGACACAGAGUUUGCAUUGGACAAGUCAUAAUUUGAUUCACCCUCGCCUUCAGCUGGAUUGGUCUCAUGAGCGACAACCUGGAUUAAGGCGACAGGUGUAGUUCCCCUUUUCUCGCAACUUUUUAACCAGCGCACCCACUUUGAUGUCCAGUCUAUCGGCCUCAAAACCAAAAAAAUAUUUGAACUUGACUUGGUCCACAAUGCUUGCACACGGGCGGUGUAUGUUUCAGGAUUGACCGCUAAACAUCCUACCAACCAUUCCUGCAACUGACUAAACGUCCAUGUUUGAGGGGCCGUUAGAUCCAACUCCACAUACUUAAACUGACUCAGGUCAGCUCCGUGCUCGGUUGUUAAGACAGUACCGGAACCGUAGUAAAAAACAAACUUCACUACACCGGACAUCUCUGAUGCCUAAAAAAAUGUUUAGACGCAUCAAAUACUAAGCAAUACGGCAUAUAAAAAAUAUUAUGACACGUCAAAUACUAAGCAGUACGGCAUAUUAAAAAUAUUAUGACGCGUCAAAUACUAAGCAGUACGGCAUAUUAAAAAUAUUAUGACGCGUCAAAUACUAAACAGUACGGCAUAAAUAAAAUCUAGCCUAAUCAAAACAUAUUACUACCGGCCAUACUAUUUGGACGCGUCAAAUACUAAGCAGUACGACAGAUUUAAAAUAUUAAUAGGUGUCAAAUACUAAACAAUACGGCAUAAAAAAAAUCUCGUCUAUCAAAACAUAUUACUACCGGCCAUAAUAUUUAGACGCAUCAAAUACUAAGCAGUACGACAUUACCCGUUGUCCAAAAUAAUGAGCACUACCAAACGCUAAAACAUACUUCUGGCAUCAUCACCAUUGCUCCAAUCAAAACAUAUACAUUGAAGCAGUGCACACGAAUCCUCAUAAACAUCAUGUGUCUAAGCAGUACACACGUAUCCUCAUAAACAUAUACAUUAUAAGAUAAAUACGUGAGAGAUUAGGAUUUACCCUUGAAGCGUGUGAACCCAACCUCGAGCAACCUCACAGUCACCCGAUGAGCACCACCACCUCCAAACUCCUCCAAACCACCACCAUUGCUCCAACUUUGCACCACAAAAUUAGCUCUACAUGGCCAAUGAAAACAGUAGAUCGAGGUGUCUUUGGGUGCCAACUAGGUAGGGGAUGCGAUUUUGUGGUUUAAAUGGGAUCAAAGUGCACUAAUUUGGGCUAGAAAAUGGGGCCAUUUGAGGAGAAAAUGAAGAACACAGAAGAGAAGAAGCUGGCUGGGAGAACGAGCAGAGGAGGAAGAAGCUGGCUGGGCUCACUCGGGCACGCACGGGAGGGAUGGGAAGGCAAAGUGAAAAAGGAAAAGGAAAAAGAUUCCGGCCCCGAACCCACCAUGCCGCUUUCGGCCACGACGAGGCCGACUGGCCAGUCGGCCUGGGCCAGGAUAACUGCCUCGUGGGGGGCCCACAGGCUGAGCAGGCGGCCUGCAGUCGGCCUGGCCAAGGCCGACUGGGCCUAAUCGGCUUGGGCCAGGCCGACUAGGCCCAUUCGGCCUUGCCCAGGCCAAGGCCGUAUUAUUUUUGAUAUUUUUGAAAAACACGUAUUAUUUUUGAAAAUGAUUAAAAAAAUCGUAUUAUUUAAAAAAAAUUAGCAUGAUCUUGCCGGUAGUUUGGUUUAAUGGAAUAGAAGGUAUUUCGUCUCAAAAAAGCAUUUAAAACAAACAUAAAAAUAAUAUAUCAAUGCCAAAUUUCUCAAGAUGGGUGACGUAGAGGGGAUGAGGAAUGUUCCCAAUCCUAAGCAUCCCGGCUAUCCCAGCCGAAAUACAAGCCUGUCCGGAGAGUACUCAUGAGUUCCCCGUUCGGUUGCAACAACCCCUGCAGGGAUUGAGUGGCGUUUAGAGAAAAUUGAACUAAACUGUCAUCGUUACUUCUCAAUCCCCAACGAGAAAGCCGUGCGAAAAACCCUGACAAUGAGGAUACACAGGGCAAAACCGAAGAAACAAGCCGCUACCGCGAAAACGAAACCCCUCCCGCUCCAACGACGCCGAACAGGGAACAUCACCUUGCGCCAGAGCGGGUAGGCAGAACUGGACUUCUUCGACGACCGGAGACAGGAAGAGGUUGCCCUGACAGGAACGGCUCGCGCAACGGCAAGCCUGCGUAGCACGAAGUCGCCCUCCCUGGCCAGCCCCACCGCGGCAAGCAAACUCUGCCGCCAGACGAGGGCUCCAAAGGUAACGCCUCCAAGGAGGACACGGCGUCCGAAGACGCCACCAUUGCCCGAUCCGAAAAACGCAUCUGAGCUUUCGCUCGGAGGCACCUCGCCUGCAAAAGGUGGGAUGUAGUAGGGCUGCACGAUGACGCCUUCAAGAAGGGAGCGGCGUCCAAGGACGCUGUCAUCGCUGGCACCAAAGGCGGUGCAGGGUUUUCACCCGCAGCCCACGCACCCAGCGUGAAUAGGGGCAAAAAACCUUCGCAAUGAAGAACUGACCAGAGGCCAGAGGCCACCAAAGCUCCGUGCGCACCGACGUAGGUCCGUCGACGCCAAUGGCCCAAACUAUCAGCCGCCAGGGCAUCACAACCGCCCCACGCACCGGCUUUGACGCACACUCGGCCCGCAGGCCCAAGCCGGACCCAAAACGGGCCCGCCCGCCACGGGCCAUCGAGCCGGUCGGGAACCUCCACGCACCGGCAAGUGCACGGCAAUGCUGCAACCACAUGCCGCCUAGCAGAACUGGCCGGCUGCCUGGGCCGGGCUCAUAUGUGAGCCCACGCCACCCAUCUGCACCCAGCAGACCAGUGCCGCCAUGCUGCCCAGCACCGCUCUGCGCCGACGGCCCCACGCGCCACCCCACGCCUCCACGCGUUCCCCGCCGUCAUCUCGCGCCACCAGGCGCCGCCUCGUCGUGGGAGAAGAGGAAAACGCUCCGCCGCCACCUUCCUUUGGCGUGCGCAGGCUUCGCCGGCACCCCCUUCGGCGGCAGCAAAGCAGGGGAAAGGGAGGAGGAGGAGGAAGACCGGUGGCGGCUAGGGUUUCAGGCAACACGGGGUAGGAGGAUGAUCCUUUGAUUUUAGUAUUUGCAUCUAGAUGUGGCCAAUGACUACAGAACGUACCCCAAUGCAGCAACUCAAUCCAUCAAAAAUAAAAAUAAAUCAAAGAGGCCGAAUAGAACAUGAAAUCCGAUAGAUCGAAUACGUUCAUAGGAUCGACACUUUGUGUUCUUUGAGAUAAAGAAUCGGAUUCCUAACAAUAUAUAGAAAGGGAUUUUGUUUUGUUUGUAGCCUUGUAUUAGGCAACUAGCCGCUGCUACUCGUAAUCGAUGGAAACAGAAAUGGGGAUGUCGACGGCGCCGUGGUCCUCCCUCCCCGACGACCUCCUCGGCCUGAUCCGCCACAGGAUCGCCUCCCCGCGUGACCGCGCGCGCCUCGCCGCCGUCUGCUGCUCUCGGCCACAGACCGGUGCCCGCAACGCACAAUCCGGCAGCGACGGCGCGACCUCUCCCGACUCCCACUCCCAGCUCGUCGCCUCUUCAAUCUUCUCGCGCUUGGCGCCUGCAACUCCGGCCAGCUCGACGGUGGAGAGGCCAAUCUGCACGGCAGCCGCAACUAAAGGACGGCACCAACUACCGAAUCAGGGGUAGGCGCAAGUUAGUUUCAGGUUGAGUUGUUGUUCAGAUCCGAGUUGUUGUCACGCUGUUCAGAUUUUGUUGUCGAGUUAGUGUUGCUGCUACUUCGAUUCAUGUUCGUGUGUAGCUUCUACUUGAAGUUUCUGUGUGACCGUGUGUACAGCGACAGCGUGUGUGAUUAUGUAUGUGAGGCUCAAUUGUACGUCAGAUUGCAGGUACGUGUGAUGCUAGUCUGUAUGAUUUGUCGAAUUCUGAAAUGAGAUGGUGCCGAAAUUUCGGAAAUUCCGGGUUACCCGAUACCCGAACCCGAAUUCCGGGUUAUUAAUUUUUUGCUCUAAUUUGGAGUGUUAAAUUUGGAAAUCCGAUUUUUUACUUACCCAAAUUACCCGACCCGAAUUUUCGGGUAAACCCGAACGCCCAGUCUGAUCCUAGUCCUUGUUAUUUGAAACAAAUAAAAAUAAUCAUAGCAGGGGUGUGGCCGGCCGGUACGUGGAUAUAUUUUGUAUCGUGUUUAAAGUUCCAACCGCACAUGUAUGCAUGUUACAUAUCGGAUUCCUUCUUUACUCCAAAAGGGAGAACAUAUCGGAUUCCUAGCUACUUAGUACUGCAGUAUAUAAGAUAAGGGAUUUGUUUGUACGGCGAUUAGCCAGUACUCGCAAUCGAUCGAAAGUUCGAAACACGUAGAGAGAUGUCAACGGCGCCGUGGUCAGAGCUCCCCUACGACCUCCUCGGCAUGCUCCGCCUCAGGAUCGCCUCCCCUCGUGACCGUGUGCGCUUCGCAGCCGUCUGCAAGCCGUGGCGUGCCGCCGCGCUGCUGCUCCCGGCGCCGCCUGCCGCCCCACUGCUGCUCCUCUCGCCGCGCGGCCGCAGCGGGAUGAAGCACUUGUGCGGCCCCAACGACAGCUGGGUCUUGCGCGUCCCGAAGAAGGCUCUCUACAAGCAGUUCCUCGGCUCCCACGACGGCGGAUGGGUAGCUGCGGUGAAUUACGACGGGCUAAUGAUCGUCAACCUCUUCUCCGGCGCCGAGGUUGUGCUCUCCGCAGACCAAACCACCAAGCUCGCCUCGAUCUGCUCUCCCAAGCCGUUGCCGUUCCACUGCGUGGGACACAGCAUCUGGAAGAUUGUCUUCUCCGGAGACCCCGCCUCCUCGGACGGCUGCACCCUCGCCGUCCUCAUGGGCGACCAGGCCCACGUCGCGGUGUGCAGAGUCGGCUGCCCGAACGGCGAAUGGGCCGUGCAGGCUUGGCACGGGGAGUCUAUCCAGGACAUCGCCUUCUGCAACGGCGAUCUCUACGGCCUCACGCUUGGCAGCGAGUCACUGAUCAAGUUUGAGAUCAGCAUGAAGCUGCAGGAACAAGAAGACGGCGGCAUGGCGCCGGUGCUCACGACCAUGGCUCACAAGCUGGCCAUCCAAAGGCGUGACGUUCCCACCUGGGAGCACGAUUUCAGGGCCUACUUCGCCUACAUUUUCGAGCUGCACGGCGAGCCGGCGAUGGCGGUGCGGACCCGGUGGCCGGCCAACCGUGAGCCUAUCUUCAGGGUGUUUAAGCUCUCCGCUGCUGCCGACGGCGUGUCUGAGCACAGGUGGGCAGAGGUGACGAGCUUGGGCGACUAUGCCUUGUUCUUGGGGGUGGCAUGGUCCAAGGCAGUGCAUCUGCCGAUGGAUGCCGGCCGGUGCGUUGCUCGUGAAGGCCUGGAGAGAAACCACAUCUACUACUCCACGCCUACCCGCUCCGAGGAAGACAAGUUGCCCGGCGACCAAGUGUACUCUGUGACAUCAGAAGACGGGCACCGUAUGUAUUGCAGGAAAGACCAGAGCGUGGGCGAUAGCGUUGGGAGAACAGGAUACCACAUGAUGGGUUGGCAUUAUUCUGCCAUGUGGCUACUCCCUCCAGACUUCUAGGUCAUAUAGUACUUCUUUUAGCUGAUAGGAGUCUUCUUUUAGCUGAUAGGGAGAUGACUCCGUCGAUCUUCGUACCAUAUUAUCAGCAUGAAUCUACGUGUGACUGAUUUCGGCCUGAAAGAGUAUCAUCAACCGUCCAGUGCAGUGAGCCGGCUUUCUUCUUGCAGAACACGUCGGAGCGAGAGAGAAAAAACUGUUUACCAGAUGACGAACAAACUGUGACAACCAUAUCAUAACACUGAAUAUAAUCUAUACAGAUGGUCCCCCCCUGAGGUUUGUACACACCGGAGUUUGUCGAAUUUCUGAUGACUGCGACUUAAUUACCGCUGUUGAUAAUACCCUCUACACACUUCUGCAAUCUGCAUGCUAUCCUAACUCCUAAGUAACUAAGCAAUUACACGACAGACUUGAAUCACAACGAUGACACCAGAUCACGGCACGGCAGAGCACCAGCAACUCGAAAAAGACCGACAAGAAAGCAGAAAGAUUCAGCUAAGUCCUUGCUCGGCGCCUACGAUACCCGUCACUGGAAUCAUGCGUCCAAAUGUUGAAUUACUCAUGAUGACAUUGGGCAUCUGCCCAAUCUGGUCAAUCAGCCGUAUGUGUUUGCAUGUGGCUCGUAACCAGCUGUGCUGUAGGUGCAAACAUGUUUGAUCCUGAAAAGGAAAUUUGGUAUUGGUUAGCAAUAGCCAACUUUAACUGGAAGAUACAAGAUGAGACGAACUCCUGUGAUUAUCAGUGUAGGUUAGCACCUGGAACAGCAUUAAAACCAUUCACAGUUUGGUGCAUGGCGGCCCGUGCAUGAACAUUAUGGCUGCUCUUCGUCUCAACAGCAUGUUCACCUCGGUCUAUUGAAACCUGUGGUAAUGAUCCACAUUGCUGGCUUGGUAAUGCUUGAGAAUCAAUCCUCUGAGCGGUGUCGGUAGAAGCACAUGACGCAGUGUGUGGAGGCCCUGCUGAAUGGCUUCUGCUGGCAGGAUCAUCAACAGUUUGCUGUUCACUCGACGCUGCUGUGCUGCUUGGUGGCAUCAUUGCUGUCGAAGAUGAAGUUGGUACAGGUGGCCGAAAUGUGUUUGAUGUUUCAAAAUCUCCUACCCACCCGCGACCAAACGUUAUUCCAGGAGGAAUGACCUGUUCAAUUCGCUUCGAUGCAACUUCCCAAGCGGCAGAACCAAGCUGUGCAGCAAAACGUGCCAGACUGCGGGAAUAGGACUGCUGCCACUGAACCCCAACCUGAAACAAGAAAAUACUGUGUUUAAGUGAGAAUGAUACUAUUUACCAUUCCCCAAAGUUACUGGGAAUCUGAAAGACUGAAACUAUAUUGAUAUAUCAUCGAUCUCUUAGGGAACAUGGCUUGUAUUGGACACUCAACUGGUACAAGAAUCUUCCUUGUUCCGUUGUAUGAUGUUGCCACUGGCAGCUCAUAUAUUGAACUGGAUGGUUGAUGAUGAUAAUAUGUGCUCCGGCGACUUUCUUCUACUAAAAGCGGCUUCUUCGCCAUUUUUCCUGACCAUUUACUCCCGGACCCUGGGACAUACGGAACAUUAAAUGAUGUCAGGGGGAAAUGGGUUGGUUGAAUCGGAAAGAUGUCCUUUAUUCAUCAGCAUCCCAUUGAAUACCCACUCAUUCAAAAUACAGAACUUUGGGGUGAUUUAAAAUAAUCAAAACCUGAGUAAUCUUCAAUGCUUUCCAUUUUGCGCUCGCUAGACCAAUUGUGCUCAUUGUUUCUAUUGGCAAAAGAAGCUUUCAGUACAUCUGCAAUUCUUCUUUGUAGAUCGAAUCCUGAGUGUGCAUGAUGUCCACUAUUUCCACCAGUAGCGAGUGCCGCACCAGGAAAUUCAGGAGGAGCACGUUCUGCUGGUGGUCUCCCAAUGUUUGGUUUGGCGGAGUUCUUUGGAGGCCUGCCUCUGCGACGUUGUGGCUUUGGUUCUUGCUCUGGUAGUGGUUCUGGCUCCGGCUUUGCUUUUGGUUUUGGUUUUGGUUCUGGCUCUGGUUCACUGGCAUCGCUAUCUUGCCUAAGAUUCUCAAAGUCCUUCUUAGCAACCUCUUGAAUUGCUCGUGCCUAUAAUACAUGAUACAUGAAUAUUACAUUUGCGCCAUAGCUUCCACAGAAACAUUGUAAUUCAUGAAAACAAGAAGACACAAUGCUUGACCUGUCGAUAGUAUAUUGUGUCUGGUGAGUUGUAGCACAUCGCAUUUGAGGUUAUCAAAAACACAUCAUCCUGUAAAUAGAAAGUUUGGGUUAGAGGUUACAAAAUGAAUGAGCAUAUAAAUAGCAUGCUGAAUAUGUGAAUCAUUAUGAGGAAUAACUUUGUACUAGCAUAAUAGUAAGAGUAUCACAACACAUUAACAUUACAAUAAGCUUUACGAACAAAAAGAUUGUGACAUCCUCCUAGCACGAGUAAGAAUAAUUCAUUCGAUAGAUAAUAAAAGUACACACCCAGCACGGCCUGUAAUGUUGAUUGUAGUUUAGAUACUAACAUACCGACUAUUUAACAGUGAGUCAAACUGCCAUUUCUUCUCGAGGUGUGGGUUGCAUCCCAGACCAUGGUUUAGCAUGAAGCAUGGAAUAAAACUUGAUGAACACAACAAUGUUAUUGAUAUAGAGGUAAGACUAAAUUGAAUGCGCACUGAAGAUGUAAGUAUACGAUGCCGGUUACAGCAUAUUUAGAUAUAGGUCCAACAGUUUCAAGUGGUACCAGAGAGGGUAGGAGAUAAGUAGCUACAGCAAGUAAAUUGGUAACAGUAAGCAUGCAUACCAAUCCCAAAAGUAAAAGUUCAGAUCUUCCCAUCUCAGUAAAUGCAUAUCUCAUAUUUCAAACUGACAACUUCGACCUCAGGUCCAACAAUACUUCGUUCGUGAGUACCACCACUACAUGAUUCAUUCGUGAGUACUACUACAAAAAGUGUUUAUAUAUUGGAAGUUGAACGUUCUGUUUACCCCAAAAGUAAGCUGCCUUAUUAUAUUCCUUUGGCCACAGGUAACAUGCAGUUUGCAGAGCAUGUAUAUCGCUUUUACAAAUGUAAUAGAACUAGGAAAUCCUGGAAAUGAGUAAUAAAUAUUGUCCAAGCGUUCACACAGCUGGUUUGUGUCUCUUCCUUCUUUUUUAUAAAGAAAGCAUCAUUUCGUAUUUCCUUAAAUAAUAGUUGAAGACAUUUUUACUUCACAGCAGGUGCUUUCAUUAGAUCAUAUUUUCCAUUAGAAAAAAAAUGGUCCAUUUACAGCUUUUCUUUUCUAAAACACACUUCUUCAGAAGAGUUAAUCAUUUAUUUACAUACAAACACUAUUUGUUAUGGAACUGUUUAUAGUAUCAGAUACUAUAGCCAAAUGACUUAAACAUCCUAGUAAUAAUUGGAUAUACAGAACAUAUGAAGACAGCAGCACCUGAUAUGUAACUAAAUAUAAACACAGCCCUGCUCAUAAUUUUAUACAAUUAAAUUUCUGCAAAUGGAAUCAAUAGCAGUAACUCCUGGUGGUGCAAGUGUUUCUCUUCACUUAUUACUAUAACAGAUACCUUGAUUCAGAUUUCAUUUUGCCUUUAAAGAAACUUGUUAAAUGAAAAUGUUGUGCUCCUGUCUUUCAUUAAGAAAAAAAAUCAGGUGUUCGGUACUUCAGUUUACAAGAUAUUUAUCAAAUGAAACAUUGACAGAAAAAACACCUAGCAGCAAAACUCACAGGUUUGUAUUAAAAUAUUUGCACCGCAUGUUUCGACUCUAAGAGAGUGAAUAUAUGUUCCUAAAAGGCAUGGUGCAAUGCUGCAGCAGUACAGAAUAUUUGCCCCGCAUGUUUCGACUCCAAAGACAGCAGUGGACAAGGUAUUUUUUACCAAGCCAGAAAAUGCCAUGGUUUUACUAUUUCUACUGGACUAUAAGAAUAAAGAACAUGUCUGUAAGGUACAAAAGGAGAAGAAACGUCAGCAGGGAAAAACACACGAGUGUGACAGAGAUGACGACUAAUCUAGCUGAUCAAGCAAACCGACAUAACCAAAUUACUGUAACAGCUGAUUUCCUACGAAACACUCUCAAUCUUCUGCCUGUUAAAGGAAAAUCCAAAUAAAAUAGAAAAAGGUGAAACAACAAAAAAACCAAAAGAUUCUACACUGACCUCAAAUUGCUCCAAGAUGGUAUAAGCCCCCUUAUCAAGCUUCUUGCGAACCGUCUGAAAAUCCAUUGGGUCCUUGACAAUAUCAUGGUAAUCGGGCAGCUGACAAUAAAUGCACAAUUAAAGGCAAAUCAGUCAGCUUCUGAAAAACGAACCAAGAAAAACAAGCUUUCAUCUUCAGACACAAACCUCUUCUGGAUCAACUGGCUCUGAGAAUACACCAUAUGUGUCUUUCCUGCAAGAAAGCAAGAAACAGACCUCAGAUAAGAUGUCCCGGAACUGUGAAUGAACUGGAAGGAAGAACAAGCAGAGAGCAUAGCAACUCACUUCUGUAGCCUAUCAAGGAUGAAGACCAAUAACUUUUUGUCCGGCAGAGGUGUCGUGGGACCGGAAUCUGACGGCUCUGUCGAAUGAACAAAUCCAUCCACCCACGAGCACAGAAACAAUCAGAGGCACGGGCAUUAAUUAAACAAGAACAAACUGGAAUGUAUCCACCACUACAAGAAUAAUUAAAAAUGACAUCCUUGUGCACAUUCGUCCAGGUAUUUUUUGCUUCUGAAAUCUGAAGAAUAAAUGCAUCAGAGAGCUAGGGAAAACCAACCUUCACGCCCAUCCGUCGCUAUCCUCGUCUUUUCUCCCUGCGGCAACAGCAGCAACAGAGGAUAAAGAGAAAUUUAAAAACAACAGGACAAAAAUAUCUUCACAGAAAAUCGAGAUGAGCGGAGAAAAGGCGCCAGAAAAAGUGGGGGCUUUCGUUUACCAGCACCAGUUACCAAGUACAGAUCCUAACGACGCCGGCGUCGCGAGAUGUAUAGCAAAAUUUGGCGCGAAAGGCAGAGGAAACCAGCCCAAAAAAAGGUACGCCUUUAAAAGCUUGGAAGCGAUCCACUUACAAAAAAAAUGCGCCAAUUAUUGCGACGCGAGAGAUGCGAUGGGUUUUUGGUUUAUCCGCCAAAUGAUUGGGAGAGGGCUCUCAGGUUGAACUGCGCAGCGUUGACUGCUGCACGACGGCAGAGAGAGAGGGAGAGGGGGGAUAAAUAAAUAGAGGCGCGCGGGCGGGCUUUUCAUGCCUAAAAUAGCAAAGAGAAUUCCUCGGGCGGCGCGCGGCGGCGCAGAUCCGUACGUUCCCGGGGGCAGAGCACUCCGAAUUUGGCGAAUUCCGCGCGAAACCGGCCGGAUUCGAGCGGGGAGUGCGCAGAUCGGGAUUGGGGAUGCGAGGGAAGCCCACCUUGGCUGAUCCGCCGUGGAGGCCGACGACGAGGCGGACCUUCUUCUCGCGGCGGUCGUCGUCGCCGGAGUCUUCGUCGGCGGCGGGGUUCCGGCGCGUGGAGGGGCGGCGCUGCUGGGGCGGGGGCGGGGCCGGUGGCUCCUCCUGCAGCUUCUGGAGGCGGAGGCUGCGCUUCUGGAGGUCGAGGAGCGAGGGGCGGCCCUUCUUCUUCCGCUUCCGGCGGCCCGGGGGAGGCGCCGACAUCACCGCGGCCGGCGGCGGCUGCUGCUGCUUGCCCAUUGCCCGCCCGGCGAGUACACUGCCCUUUUUUUUAUUUCGACGGGGCUUUACUUUUUUUUCUCCCUCCGUUGUGUCGCAGGGGGGUAUCGCGUGUGUUGGGGUGCGGGACGGGGCGGGGGUGGGUAGACUUUUUGGUGCGGCGGGGGCCGCUUCUGUGUUGGCUUUUCUUUUUUCUCGCUUUGCAGAGCACGUGAGCUGCGUGUGUUUCUGGGCCUUCUGAGUUCUGGCAGGGCGGAGCUGGGAGUCGUAUACUCGUAUACCGUCUACUCGCUGCUGUCAACUGUAUACUGAUGCAUGUAUGACGUACCCGGGCUGCCAGUCGGUGGCACCGUGGCACUCACCAGGAACGCGACGAUAUGGCACGUCCGUAUGGUUCCACACGGGACAAAUAUUCACUGCCCUGUAAAUUCACUUUCAAUUGUUGUGAAUAUUUUUGAAAAAUAGUUCCAAGGAUGUUCAUAUUGAUGUAAUAUUCAAGUUGCAAAUUUUGGCGAAUCAACAAGAUUCCAUCAACUGAUGGUUCAUGACGACAUUUGUGUAACUACUUGACAUCAUUAUCGCAAACUCAACAAGAGACCAAAUGUGAUGUAUUGAAAGGCAAACAACCAUUGCACCUCGUCUUCCAACAAAAUCGAUAGGUCCCAAUUAACAAGGAGUAACAAAUCCUUGGGCGGAGCGUGAGUCUGGUUGGGCGGCUCUUUUUUUCGGGGAAGUUGAGUUUUAUUGCUCAUGACCAAGAUUACACAACCAGUAGCCACGCAUAUUAGAUGGUAUAGUGGAUUGUUCCUUUCUAACGGAAUAUGGUUUUGCAGGUACCGACAUGAUCCUUAGGGAUGAGUUAGCUAGGAGCAGGAGCUGCCAUGUUACAACAUCGAGGAGUUUAUCUCAAUGUUUCGGAGACAAAUGUGUUUACAAACUAAAAAUGUGAGAUCUCUUAAAUAAGUCGUAUAUCUGAAAAAAGAGGAGUAUCAUUAUGCAAACAGAUUGUUGGAACGUUGCUAAAUGUAGUGGCAUGCAUGUAAUACAAAGUCCAUCGAGACAAGGCCACUUCAAAGAAAUCCACAGGCUGACGGGACUUGACGAAGAUUGGUCAAGGACAAAACAGAGUCGCAUUGCAUAUUAACAGAGUCGAUUUCAGGUAGAUCUGUUCGCCGCAGAUUGGUUGAACCACGUCCUGGUUACCAGAGUCACAAGGAUCCCGCUUUUCCUCGAAAGAAAAAAAAAUCACUGACUGCAAUACUUUUUUCUAAGCUUGCUUGACCCCUAAUCUACUGCUCUUUGUCUGCUUUUCCACCUGGGAUUAGCGCUGAUGUUGCUGGGAUAGUAGUAUUGAUGUGGAGGAAGUCCUUUCAGUUUCUGUUUCGGACAUUCAGUAAUCAAUUUCAGCAAAGUUCUCAACUUGCCGGUGUUUGGUUUCAGUAGUUCUCUGAUGCAGAGCAGUGAAGUUUCAGCAAAGUUUAGUACCCCCAGGUGUUUGAUUAUUAUUUUUUUAUAAGAAAGGUGUUUGAUUUGAUCGUACUAUUUGUAAUUGGUAGUUAAAGAUUUCAGGUGUUUAGAUUUACAUGCAUUAAAGAUUUAGCAAAGUGGAGUUCGAUUUCCUUCCACGGUUGUCUGUACUCUGUACACGACCUAAUUCUUAUGAUUAUUGUUUGCAUAUAUAUCCCUUCAAUUCACUCUACGAGAUACACUAGCCAGCAAUCGCACAUCCCAUCACACGGUGAUUCAAAGAAGAAUGACCUCUGGGAUGAUUCGCUACUCAUCGAGUUCAUAUCUCCUCGCUUUGCUUAUGUUCUUUUCUUCAAAAAAAAGAAGAUUUUAUCGACUUAUCGUAGUACUAACCCUACAACGUAACUUUCGCCCUCUGCAUCCAAAACGGCACAGCCACACUUACUGUUCUGAAGAUUGGCAUGAUACAAAGAGAAAUCCUAACACCAAUUUGGGAAUCUGUAGUUCCAAGUGGACAAUUAGUAUACUAAUAGAGGAAAGGUGCCAAACACACAAUUGGCGGAUAGAAGUUGAAACUACCGAUGGCCGUGCACUAAUAUAUCCCAAUAUACAAGUACAUCAGAUCAUCGGGGCGAGUAAAUUUCACAAAACCACACUUCGAGAAUAGGGUUUCAAUGAGCCACAAUUAUGACUAAUAGUCUCACAAAACCACACUUUUUCGGACAGAUCUUCACACAGAACCCAAAUCAGGUAAUUAAGAGCGUUUGAUGGUGUUUCUGACAAGUAGGACCCACAUGUCGGAUGCCAGGAUCGAAUCGGGAUUGUCCGGGUAGAUAGAGGAGCUUAACGGGUGUCGGGCAAAUGCUGACGUGGAUAAAAAAAGGGUUUGACCCGUCCGACCUGGCAUCCGACAUGUGGGUCCCACUUGUCAGAAACACCAUCAAACGCUCUUAAUUACAUGAUUUGGGUUCUGUGAGAAGAUCUGUCCGAAAAAGUGUGGUUUUGUGAGACUAUUAGUCAUAACUGUGGUCCGUUGAAAACCUAGUCUCAAGAAGUGUGGUUUUGUGAAAUUUACUCUAAGGGAGCUAUAAGACUUCUUCAUCAUGUAUUCGGCAAGGCUUAAGGGGCCGAGACGUCGUUUCUCAACAUUGUCGGAGAAGUCUGUGGUGGCAAUCUCCACUCUGCCGUCCUCAAGGUGAUGUAUGCGAAUCCCGCGCUUCUUCGACCCGCCGCCAACGUAGUAGAGGCAGUUGCCUUCAAUGGCGGGGAGAUUGUCGGCGUCGACAGACAGAGAGCGAUGCUUGCCAAGGAAGAUCGCACGGUUUCCGAUGCGCUUGACCGGCUGAUCCAGAUAAGUUUUACGGUCAGGACCAACCCUGAAGACCUGCACGGCGCCCAGCUGGUGAUCGGACAAAGACGGAGCGUUGUCGACGAGGAACGUGGGCAGCUGGUCCUUCUGAUCCGAGGUUCCGGCGACGACGACGGUGGUAAGCUUGGUCUGCAGCAUGUUACCGGAUGAGCACACGUCCACGGCCGCUACAGUUCCCUUCAUGUCGGCGGCGUAUGCCCGGCCUUGGAAGGCCACCGGGAAGGCCACCGUGCCCGCGAGCGAGAGUGACUCGAGGGUCGGCUUGGCGCGGCGGCCGGUGAAGGGGUUGAGGAGGAAUAUACGGAGGCGGCCCUUCGCCUCCAGGAGUAGGAGGCCGUCUGCUGUGGAGCAUGGGCAGGUGCAUCCAGAGGAACCGGCCCGUGUCGACGUGCAAGAAGAGGAGCCGGCCGUAGCGUUCCCGGCCAGCGGAUGAUCGGGCGUGAGUCGUCGGCUGUAGUUUGUGUCAUUGACGAUGCACGGGUCGUCGCCCGCGAGCUUGUCGAGCAUGACCCAUCGGUGCGGGCGGAACCGCGGGUCGUCGUCCUCGUCCGGGCCGCGCGGGUCGGCGGUGGCGGCGCGCCAGCCGCGGCACACGGCGCGGAGGCCGAUGUAGUAGUCGAUGUCGCUGGUGGCGAGGAAGACGUCCGCGACGCGGCUGACGAGGUCGGGCAACAGCUACGACCAGUCCGCCGCGGGCUCCAUUGUCGCCGUGUGCGUGCGCCUGUGGCUGCAAGAGUUUAUGGAUGGGCCUUGGCACUCGGACGGAGGAAGAAGCCAGAGCCGCCGUCACCUUCCGAGCGAUGGCAAACCCUGAAAACGGCCCCGCUGGCGUGGAGAUGAAGUAUGAAGGGGAGAACCGUCUUAUCCAGCUGAUUCCCCGCCGCGUGCGCCGUGGAAUCCGCCUGGAUCGCUGGGGGCGUUUCCAACUGAUCCCCCGCGGCCUUCCGUCGAAUCCGCCUGGAUCGGCCGCCACUUGGCAGGCCGCGAAGGAUCUCAGCCCAGGAAAAGCCCACGGCUCCAAGGCGCAAAUGAAAGAGGAGAAGAGAAAAUCGUGAGAAAACUCACUGGAGGAGAAAAAUGGCUAUAGUAAAAUUAGUGAAAUACCCAAUCCGGAAAAAACGUCUAGUGCUUCGCCUACUUCCUCAAACAAAAGAGACGCGCGAAGGGCAGAGCCUCAGCCACCCAGCAGUAAUAGCAGCCGUGGUGCCCGUUGAGAUUCCCCGCGCCGUUCCGUCGAAUCGAUCAGCCGCGCGCCCGGCGCCCCUGCACAUAUAUUAUACCCAAUGCCCACACCUCACAACCACUUGCUAACGCGCGCGGCGGUGACCAUGGCUGCGGUGGACUGGUCAUCGCUCCCCGCCGACGUGUUCCUAGCCACCACCGGUCUCGACUACUACAUGAGCCUCCGCGCCGCGUGCCGCCCCUGGCGCGCCGCCACCGCGGACCCGCGCGGUCCGGACCGGCGCUUCCAUCCCCGCCGGUGGAUCAUGCUCGAACUGAAUAUCCAUGUUUCAAGAGAUAUUGUUAACUCCAAAGCUUUCAAACUGAAUAUCCAUGUUUCAUCGAAAUAGGGUACAAAACUUUCGAGUUUGUGGAUGUUCAACCCAAAAUCCAUAACAUACAACGGUUCAGCCUAUUUCUUGAGUUGACAGUUCGCAAUUCCUAGUGGCAAUGAAUACAUGCUAGCUACUCCCCUUUAACUAAUGAAUACUUGGCUCGAAACCUCUCGACCAUUGAGCUUAAUGAGUCCAGCCGAGUUUGAUUUUGAACUGGUCAACGAAACAUUUGAGUCAAGCCGAGCAUAAUUCUGAGUUCGUUAAUAAAACAACUUUAACCACUCAAGCAACGAGCUACUCGUUUAACACCAUCCCCUCUUCUCCCCUUGGUCCAUGGUCCAUCCCUCUUUUUGACCUAACUCAAUAUCCACCCACAUUCCUUGACACACAAGCAAAACCACUCUUGACUCGCGUCCUCCUCUCAUAUGGCAUAUAUGUUAAUUUAUUAACGAUCGAGUUAAACAAACCAAUUUUGUAGUUAAAUUGAGUCGAGCCCAUGUCGCUUUUGAACAUGAUAUACUAUUAACGAGUCGAGCUAACUGUUGUAACUAGUGUGUUAUCUUAAUUGGUUCUACCAAUUCGAGCCAAGCUAACUACUCCCUCCGUUACAUAAAGAUUGGCACGGAUAUCCGGCUCUACUCACACGGACAUGUGGUCAUAAUGCAAAAGAUGCAAAUGAACAAUUCUGAACAGGAGAUUUGAAUUCAGAACCUUUGGUUAUGUGGCAUGUGCCUUUAACCGUGUGGAGCUAACAAUUUAACUUAAUCCGUAUUAUAAUCUCACGCACACUGUGCUUGAUUCUUCUUGCUUUGCUUCCCUUGGUGCGGGUGCACAUCUCAGAGCAUACGGACGGUAUAGAAAGAAGGUGCAGUGCGUCCCAGACUAACCAAACUUUUUUUUUGGCUAUACAAAAUGCACGGUUGUUUGUUGCACGCAACGACGAUUGUUCCUUUUGCCAAAGUAAAUAAAUAAGCAUCUCUCGUCGAAGAUCAUUAUUUUUCUAAUUCUCUACCUCGUGAAAGCUGGAAGUGGCCACGUCACCGGCAAAACUAACCAACGGUAAUAUCUCCCGGAAAAAUCCACCGAGCCAGCCCUUCGCUAGCGCCAAAGAAGUUCACCGCGCGCACGGCCAAAAUCCACGCAAGACCAGCGAAAUCUCGUGGUCUCCACUCUCUGCUCGCCCGGCGCGGCGAGAAGAUAAUCUCAUGGCCACCGCACGGCCACAUCAGCGAGCCACCGCAGCAUCCCCGUGAGGACAUUGACCCCACCCCAUCGCCCUCGGCUCAGACUCAAACCCAUCAAAAAUCCGGGCGCGCCCACGGUGCCAGCCACUCCGUGGCCAGAGCGCGGCCACCUCGGCAACCCCCAUCCGCCUUCCCGGCACCUCACAGCGCGCGCGCCAAUGGCGACUCGGCUUAAGAUUCCCCGUGGAUAAGGACUCGAUCGCGCGCGUUCGGGCCUCCUAUUUAAACGCCUCUCGCUCCCGCUUUACUCCACAGCAACAACCGCUCCAACACUUCAGUUCUCACUCCACAGCUCAGAGUCAGAGCUACUAGCAAUGGCAGCGGCGACCAUGGCGCUCUCCUCCCCCGCGAUGGCCGGCACCCCGGUGAAGGUCUCCAGGGCCACCCCCUUCGGCGAGGGCCGCAUCACCAUGCGCAAGACGGCCGCCAAGCCCAAGGUGUCCGCGUCCGGCAGCCCGUGGUACGGCUCCGACCGCGUGCUCUACCUCGGCCCACUCUCCGGCGAGCCCCCGAGCUACCUCACCGGCGAGUUCCCGGGCGACUACGGCUGGGACACCGCCGGGCUCUCCGCCGACCCCGAGACCUUCGCCAAGAACCGCGAGCUCGAGGUCAUCCACUGCCGCUGGGCUAUGCUUGGUGCCCUCGGCUGCGUCUUCCCCGAGCUGCUCGCCCGCAACGGCGUCAAGUUCGGCGAGGCCGUCUGGUUCAAGGCCGGCUCCCAGAUCUUCAGCGAGGGAGGCCUUGACUACCUCGGCAACCCCAGCCUUGUCCACGCCCAGAGCAUCCUUGCCAUCUGGGCCUGCCAGGUUGUACUCAUGGGCGCCGUCGAGGGGUACCGUGUUGCCGGUGGCCCGCUCGGUGAGAUUGUUGACCCACUCUACCCAGGCGGCAGCUUCGACCCCCUUGGCUUGGCUGACGACCCAGAGGCAUUCGCUGAGCUCAAGGUGAAGGAGAUCAAGAACGGCCGCCUCGCCAUGUUCUCCAUGUUUGGGUUCUUCGUCCAGGCCAUUGUCACCGGCAAGGGUCCCCUCGAGAACCUGGCCGACCACCUGUCCGACCCAGUGAACAACAACGCCUGGGCCUUCGCCACCAACUUCGUCCCCGGCAAGUGAGCUUAGUUAGCAAGCUCCAGCGCCUGCUCUAUGCUGAGGCGCUUGGCCGACGACGUCAUUGUUGAUGAUGGAUGCUGCUGCAUGUGUCGAGAUUGAGUCAGGAGUCAGGACUGAUAGAUGUUGCAUGUGAAAGUCAGAGAUGAGGAGUUGGUGUUGUACACUAAAGAUGGUGUUUGUGUAAUAUCCCUCGGUUAUUUGUGAGAUGAAUCCGGGCAUCUUUGUUCUUCUGCUCACUUGUUCAUUUCUCUCUCCUCUUGAAUGCGUGCUGUUUGCAUUAGAAGGAGAACGCCGAGAAAGCGCACCUCACUCGUUGCAUUGGUUCUACUUCCUCUGAAUCUGAAUGUGUCUGAAAGUUGUCUGAAUUUUCUGAAAGUCCAAGCCGGUAAGUUGUCUGAAUUUUCUGAAGUCAAAUUUCUAUUUAAAUGUUGUACAAAUCUUGGGUUCCUCCUAGUAAAAACAAACUAUGGAACACUGCCAACUAGUGCAGCUUCCUUGUGAAGAUGCUGCUGUACUACCGUCCCUGAAGAACGGUCAUGGUUAUGCUGUUCCUGGUGUUCUCAAGAUCGUCUCUCUUUGCUUCCAUCAGCGCGAGAUAGGCAGGCUGGUUUGGUUUCGGCAGCGACAAUGUCGACGACGAGGACCCGCUUCCAUUCUCCAGGAUGGACACGACGGCCGACAUGAGCGGCCUCCUGCUCGGGUCGCCCUCGACGCAGAGGAGCCCGACGUGGAUGCAGAGCAAAGCCUCCUCCUGCGAGCAGCUUCCUGCGAUGGAUGGAUCCACCAGGCCGCCUGCCUUUCCUUCCCUCCACAGGUUCCAUGCCUGCAUGAAACAAUCAAAUCAACCAUUCUGUGUUUUUUCUCUUAAAAUUCUGGUGUCAGUGGCUGUUCUAAUUCAGAUGCUCACAUAGACUAUGAGGCUUGGAAACUCCAUGAUGUCAUCAGGAGAGCUUAUCCUGACACCGCUCACGAUCUCCAGGAGCAGCACGCCGAAGCUGUAGACAUCGGACUUGACAGAGAAAACGCCCUCCGUAGAGUAUUCAGGAGCAAUGUAACCACUGUCCAGUGUCCCCACAAAGUUUUCAGAAGACGUGCCAGAAUUUUGUCAAAUGCUAAAAGCUAACUACAGCUUAAAAAGCAAAAUCUAUUUUUUUGUUUGUAAAUCUAGCUUCAGUAUUCAGAGUACUAACAAUGUUCCGACGACUCGCUUGGUGUUGGCAUUCUGCUGGUUGUCGCAGAAGAUCUUGGCCAUGCCGAAAUCCGCUAUCUUGGGCCGCAUCUCAGCAUCCAGCAGCACGUUGCUUGCCUUGAGAUCUCGGUGUAUCACUGUCAACCUCGAGUCCUGGUGGAGGUAGAGGAGCCCCCUCGCGACGCCCUUGAUUAUCUCCAGCCGCGUCGGCCAAUCCAGCACCGAUUUCCUUUCACUAUCUGAAGCAAAAAGAUCACAUGAGACCGUCAGGAAUCGUAUCAUCAUUUUCUGUUCUUUCUUUCUUCAGUAACUUGCUUGAGUUCUGAACAUAUAUACAUACCGAAGAGGAUGGCGUCCAGGCCUUUGUUGGGCAAGUACUCGUAGAUGAGCAACUUCUCUGCUCCUUCCGUGCAGCAGCCGAGGAGACGGACCAAGUUUCUGUGUUGCAGUUUGGCGAUCAGGAUGGCUUCGUUCUUGAACUCUUCUGUUCCUUGGUCAGAAUCCUUGCUCAGUCUCUUGACAGCAACCUCUCGACCGCUCUCUAAUGUCCCCUUCCGAAUGAUACAUGAAACAGGCGAGAUCAUGAGUAUAAUUCAGUAUUUCAGUGCAUCGAUCAAUGCUUCCGAGUUGAAAUUUAUUUAUUUUGGUAAACUGGAAGAAGAGAAAAAUUCUCAGAUAACUGAAAAAGUGAAAAUCAACAGGCCAGAUGAAAAAUCAUACUACCUUGUAAACCUUGCCGAACCCUCCACGCCCGAUCAUGAAUGCUUUGGAGAAGUUUCCCGUGGCGGCCACGAUGUCGACGAACCGUACGGAUGGGAACUCAAGAUCUUCAGCGUGUUCUCCUUCUCCGAUCUCAGUCGACGUAUUCGCGCUCCCGGGCACCAGCUUCUUCUGGCUCUCGGUUUUUCUCCCCUUUUCUGUAAAUUUUGAUGUCCCAAGCAUUUCAUCUCCGAUGAGCAUGGCAUGUUUAGAGAUACUAAUAAAAAGAGAGGAAGAUAAUAUAAUUGUAUGUAGCACCUCUGAACCUACAGAACCACACAAACAAAAUGCAUGCGAGCAACAAGACGCCGGCUAACACCGGCAGUGCUAUUUUCAAGGCAUUUUUGCUUGCCAUUGUACCUGCACGUGCAAAAAGUCAAAACAAUGGCAAAGUUUGGUGACACAAUCGAUUUCGGCCAAAGGGGCAAACUUCUUCUUUGAAUUCUGUUGAAAUCCAAUAAAAUUCUGGAAAAAAGUCCGGUAGUACUACUAAGAGCUGAUUUCUAUUUCAAUCUGGGUGAAAUUCAGGUACUGCUGGUUUUUGAAGUUGUAACUACCUGCGGAACCAGCAGGAGGAAGGGGGACGCGAAGGUAUAGCGUGUCGGCUAGGGAGGCCCAGAGGGGCCCAAUCAUCUGCGUGUCGACGAGGUCCCCGGCCCACAAGAGGCACCGCCUGACGUCCCCCUUGGCGCUGCUGCUCUGCAGCUUGGCGUACGCGUACGCCAUGCAGGAGCAGUUCCCGGCGCACCUCGCCGCGCACUCCUCGGCGCUCCUGUUCCCGCCGUCCAGCACGAACUUGUCCGGCACCUUCACCCCCGCCAUGGCCAAGAACCCACUCCCAUGCCCGCACGGCGGCAGCGGCUCCUUCCGCCGGCACCCCUUGGAGAAGUCACCGCCGGUGGCCCACGCCGGCUCGAAGCCGUCCAGGCACCUGCAAGCCGCCGCGGCGACGUCGCAGUACCCGUAGGGCCCGCAGUAGCCGUACCGGCUGCACCCGCUGGACGGCCAUGACCCCACCGUGGCCCACGCCGAGGCGCUGCCGUUCCAGCCGAGGAGCUGGAACUGGCCGGAGCUGGUGAGGACGAACCGCGUGGGGGCCGCGCCGGGGGAGACGGUGAAGGUGUUGGAUAUCUCGUCCUCGGUGUCGACGAUGGCGGUGUACACCACGGUGCCGGUGCCGCUGACGUAGCUGGCCUGGACGGUGUAGCCGUUCCACACGGGGCUGCGCCAGUGAGGGCGCGUCCCGUCCCAGACGAGCAGCUGGAGGGCGGUGUCCGGGUCCAUGCCGUAGGAGAAGCGCCCCGGGGACGGGUCCUCGGGGGAGCUCCAUGACACGAGGCGCCCGCCCUCGUGGGUCCGGUGGUUCAGCCAGACCUUCAUGCCCGGGAGGAACGUGUCGGCCGGGUGGUCGAAGCUCUGCCACAGCGCGGUCCCGUUGGCGGACCGGAGGACCAGGUUGCCGGCGUUCGUGAGCACGGCCAGCGCCGCGGGCGGCGAGCCGCUCGCCAUGCCGGUCGUCCAGACCGCGCGCCCGUCGGCGUCGGACAGGACGAGGUUGGAGGAGUCGUUGUCCAGCGCGAGCCUCGGCGCAGAAGUGCCGUUGGUGAUGGGGGUUUCCCGGUUGGCGACCCACACGACGGUGUUGACGGGGAUGCUGUUGUACCAUAUGCCGAGGUACUGUCUGUCCGGAGUGGAGAUGGACGGGGAGAAGAAGCCCAGAGCGAAGGCGCCGCCGUCCGACACUAGGGGCUUCCCGGGCGCGAGCAGCUCGCCUGCGACCAGCUCGUCGCCGGCCCCCGCGCACGGGCGCGGCGAAAGGAAGAAGAAGCAGACGACGGCCAGGGCCGCGACGACGACGACGCGGCCGGCAGCACGCGCCAUGUCCGUCGAUCGAUCGCGAUCGAUCAACAGCGUUGAUUGAGACGGGAGAAAGAACUCAAGCUUGGCAUUGGCAUGCAGCUAGUAGUAUCAUUUUGCGCUGGAUUGUGAUGUCUGUUGAGUCAGGUCGCGCGCCUUGGCCUGCAAGAAGUCUCUCAACUCCAUUGGAUCCUUCCUGUUGGUUGGAGUUGGAGAUGGACGUUUAUUCAGCGCUUGGACUGGACAGUCUUUCUCUGUGACGCGAUCAAGGCCAACAACUGCACAGUUGAUUUUUUUUAGGGAUGCACAGUUGAUAUCUUAUGCUUUUGGAACGAUGGUGCGACCCGAUUAACGCGCUCAAGUCGCAGGUAAAACCUACGGGUACCUAGACUCAGAACAUAUGAAAGAAAAUCUGAAAUUGUUCCGAACGUUUUAUUCAGUCAUUUGUUACACAAUAUGGAUUUAUUUCUGAAUUUGUUCAUAGUUUGGACCGGACUAGGUGCGACCUUGCGGAGUACGUUGCUCCGCAUGAUUGGAUGGAAAUCUACAAACCAUGAUGCCAUGGUCAAUCUCAUGAGUUACAGUUUAGACUUCAGAGCUGUGCGUGCGUGCAUAUGAACGCGUGCGCGGCGUGCCCUUCACCUCAGUCAACGCGCGCUUUGUCUUCUCACACAGCUUGUUCCUCACACUCUAACUUUGCCCCGACCGUGUUGUUCUACCAUUCUGUUUUAAAAGCAAGCAAACAAAAUUUGCCUUUGUAACAACACGUCAGAGAAGAAGAACAACAACACCUAAUCGCUGACGUAGAAUCACUUCUGUCGAGUUGGGUUUUGUCAUGUCCUGAAUUAUUUUACAGGUAUUUUGAUAAAAGAUGUGGCAGAGUAGGUAAUACAGACACAUUCUCUGUCACACAAAGGUACACCUCGAUGAAUUUUGGUUGGCCGCAAGAUAUAGACUACUCCAGUAUCUGGUCUUGUAAGAUUUAUGCUUGACUUCUUAUCAAGCAAGGGAUUAAGGUAAGAUAUGUGUUGCUGAAGCAAAAAAAAAAAUUGUGGAGGAUGAUAAGUGCACAUUCGGCUGUUCCUUCCUGAGCUAGUAUCUGUAAAGUUAAUACCUACUAAAUGCAUUUAACGUUUGCAAGUUACAAAUGCAAAGUGUCCAUAUCAUCGUUCACAUUACCAUCCACCCCAUGUAUUCUAGCCCACAAGCAAUCCAUUUUGGUGACUCCUACGACUCAACCUUUUAUCUCCUAAGAAUCUUUACCCACGUUGUAUAUAAAUAUUUCACCAAGUAUAAUAUCUAUGAAGUUGAUCCUCACUAAAAUGCAUUUUGUUUGCAAGCUCCAUGUGCAAAGUGUUCACAUCACCAUACACGUCAUGUGUUGUAGCUCGCAAGCAAUUCAUUGUGGUGGCUCCCUACGAUUCAACAUUUUAUCUCGUAAGACUUUUCACCUUGAUGUUGUAUGUAAAUAUUUCACGAACUAUCCUUUUUUUUAUGUGUGCGUUGUUUUUUCUAAGAAAUGCGAAUACUUCCUGAAGCUUUUUUUCGAUUUUCCAAAAUUUACUGUUCAUGUACAUCAAAAUUGCUCCUAUUCUUUGGAUGAUGAAGUAGUUUGGCCAUACAGUAUUCAUAUUUGUUUUGUAUUUGAUCAUAUUAUUAUCAUUUAUUCUUACGUCAUGUCUAGAUGUGCAAACAUAAUUUUUCGUGGCAGCGCGGGGAAUCAACCAGUUGCAUGUGUGGAUCCUUGAUCUACAAGCAAAACAGAUUGCAGAAGAAAAUCCUUUUUUCCCCGAAAAAAAGAUUGCAGAAGAAAAUGAAUAAAUGCUUUGACGAAUGGCUUGUUGUAGCAUCCCCGUAAGUUCCAGACGAUUGAAUAAUGCAAAGUUUUCGGAAUUCUCGUAGAUUUUGGUUUGGCAGUUGACAUUUUAGCUGUCCACGUCGGAGUUUUUUUAAGAACAGUCCACGUCGGAGUUGGGAUGCCACGCCACCGUCAGUGCGACUAGUCAACUAUACUGACUGAAACAUUAGCUAUACUGGUCCGGCCCAGUUUUUGUUUUUGAACACGGGCCGGCCCAGCUGGUCCAGCUCUGGCGCGGCUGAAUCGGAGGGUCAAAACGACGAGGCCCAAGGCCGACAAGACCACGACCCAGCCGCCACGCAUAGUGUGUGUGUUAUGAAGCCCACGCCCACUUAGCAAAGUAAUUGGGCCCAUCGGCAGACGGUCUUCUUUCUUUCAAGAAACAGAACCAUGCCAAGGAAUUAGGCCGGCCUCUGCUGAGCAACACAAGGUUUCGAUUUUCCUGUGGCGUGAUGGUCGAGCGAACGACCGAACGUGGCUCCAGAGCUUCGGACGCGGACCUCAAGGCCUUUUGCGUAAAAGAUGGAGGCAGGUAGAGGUGCAACACCGUGACCUUUAAGGUAUCUUUUAAUUCUCUUUAGUUCAAAUAAAUGAACUAGUUUUUAAAAAAUUGUGUCAUUUUAAAAUUUUAAUCCAUUUAGUUGAACUAAGGAUGGUCAAAGGGUAUCCUGAUGGUCGCAUUUUGCAGCUCUAGAGGUAGGGAGUUUAUAUAAAAAAACAGCUCGACCUGUCAUCCCACGAGUUUGAUAAGUGAUUGUGUCAGAAUGCGAGGUCAUAGGGUAUAAAGAUUGUAUAUGGACGUAUAAUGCAACUUUGAGGACCCAUGAGAGCAGAUUGCAAUAAAGAGAACUAAAUCAGACCGCACCAUCAAAUUUAUGGGUCACGUAUGCAUUCCAUCGUUCUUCCAAUGAUAUGAUAGAAUGAGUGGAAUCAAGUAGUGACCGUGUGCCAUCUAUAAGUGUGCUUUGCGGCUUAUAGUCUGGUCCAUGCUUGCAUAGAGCCAAAAGUCGCUGACAUGAUCAAGUUCCAUGUAAUCUGAACUUUAAAAAUAUAUUUUUUCGAACGGCUGGUGGCCGAACUUUAUUAAAAAAUCAGAGGAGUACAAGGCGGGUGCUUUUCAGAACAAAAGCAGGCGCCCGUGCGUUUAGCAAAAUGGAACUAUUAAUCUGGUCCAAAAUCUGUUUUCACCUUUCAGUUUCUAAGAAACAUGGGUUAGCAAAAUCUUUUCCUAAAGAGAAGGACGAUAUCUAGGAAGAUUGCAGUGGAAACAUGGCUUAACAAUGGGCAAUCAAUGUGCCAACACCAACACAGGUUGCUGAGUGUUUGAACGGACAACGUACGUCCAGCUCCAGCCUCCAGGACGUGCACCCACUAAGAUGUCAGAAACGAAAAAUUCCACACUAAACUGGAAUACGGAGUACUUUAUUCUGCUAUACAGGAAUAUUAAACCUAACAAGGAAUGAUGAAUAGAGAAAUAGCAAGAUAAUAUAUAAUAUACAUUGUACAAUAAGCAAAAUUGUGACAAUUUGGGAAUAGAGAAAUCAAAACAUCGACGACUUUUCUCGGCAAGAAAAACAUCGACGACUGGAAGCUGCAUGAUGACUUCGUCAGGCUAUUUCAGACUUGGCUCGAGUUGACAUUAAUUUGUUCCUCUUCCCACUUCGUUGGUACUUCCUUCGAUCCAUAUUAAUUGUCAAAAUCUUACAUGUAUCCAGACGAUUUUUAAGCAUAGAUACAUCCAUAUUUGGACAAAUUUAAAACAAUUAAUAUGAAUCGGAGGUAGUAGGAUAAUAUUGGUAUUCCGAGCCACGCGGGAGCUGUGGCUGAUUAAGUAGCAUUAGAGGGUUCAAACCUUGAAAGAAAGACUGCUAUAAAAAAUCCUCACGGCUGAUGUCUUGCCGGCGAGGGGCUAGCACAUGUGUGUUACCAGCAAAAAAAAGUGGGCAUGUGUAAUGAUUAGUGGCUAUCCUUUGAUGAUCACGUGUAACUUGGUCAAAAUUCGUUAUCGAGUUUACACUCGCCUGGGUGGAUAAUUGGUUUGUGAGAGGAUCUUACGGGCUUACGGCAUAUCCCGGAAACAAUCGACCCAGCACAUGCUAUAUGUCCUCGGGAGUGUUUGAAAGGAGGGACCGUAAUAGUUGCCAAAUCUUCGACGCGGCAAAGAUGAAUUGUGAUGAAAUAUAUUUCAAGGUUGUUUAUUGUUAUUUGUUUCGUAUCAUAGGUUGAUAGUUUUUUCUUAUAAAUUUGGUCAAACUUUUAAAAGUUUGACUUAAGACAAAAAUCAUAUGCUUUAUAAUAUGGAAAGAAGGGAAUAGCAUGCAUGACAAUUUUGUCGAGUGCGUCUUUUUUUGGACCGAUACUGUUCUGCAUAUCUUUUCUGAUAAAUAUAUACAACUAUAUAAUUGUAUGAUUAUUAUUUCAUCGCCCUUGUAUCUCAGUAAGAGUAAAAUUGUUCACAGAGUUCUGAAUAUCAACUCCGAUUUGCUCCAUUUCAGCGCUCCGCCGCGCAAAGUAUGCAGGGCGAUUAGGCACCGGCAAUGUUGUGCUUCCGUUCUCCAAGACAAACACUACGGCUGACAUGGCCGGCCUAUCAUCUGGAUUUUCCUGGACACAUAAGAGAGCUACGUGGAUGCAAAGCAACACUUCAUCCGAUGAAGAAGUGUCCAUGAUAGAUGAGUCCAGCAAUUCCUUCGUCUUUCCUUCCUUCCACAUACUCCAAGACUGCAAAAAAAAACAUUGCAUAUUUUUUCGUUUUGGUUGUUAAACAUUUUUCAACAACUAUGUUUGUAUUUAUACAACUUUAGAGUUCUUUCCAUAUAUACUCACAUAGAUUAUGAGGUUAGGGUAGUCCAUGGUAGCGGAGCUUCUCCGUUUGCCGGUUACAACCUCCAAUAGUAACACACCGAAGCUAUAGAUGUCGGACUUGGUAGAGAAUAUGCCUUCCAUUGCAUACUCAGGAGUCAUGUAGCCAUUGUUUGAUCAUUUCAUUUGCAAGAGUUAUAUGUUGAACGAGAUUAAUUUGGAUUUAUUUACAAGUUACAAUGAAAAUUCUACUCACUAUGUUCCAACAACGCGUUGAGUAUUUGCAUUUUGCUGGUUGUCACCGAAGAUUCUCGCCAUACCAAAAUCCGCUAUCUUGGGUUUCAUAUCUGCAUCUAACAAAACAUUUCCAGCUUUUAGAUCUCUGUGAAUUAUGGUCAAUCUUGAAUCUUGGUGGAGGUAAAGAAGUCCCCUUGCAACCCCUUUGAUUAUAUUAAACCGCGUCGCCCAAUCCAACAACAAUUUUCUUGAAUCAUCUGUGGCCAGAAACAAAUGUAAGAAAAUGUGUUUUAGAUUCGUCUUAGGAAAUCAUGACGUGUGUUGCAAGAGUAUGUACCAAAAAUGGUAGCAUCUAAGCUCUUGUUAGGCAGAUACUCGUAAAUCAACAACUUUUCAUCUCCCUCCCCACAACAUCCAAGAAGCCGAACCAAGUUUCUGUGUUGCAAUUUGGCAAUUAGAAUUACUUCAUUCUUGAAUUCCUUUAUCCCUUGCUGUGAAUCCUUGCUUAGCCUCUUGACAGCAACUUCUUGGCCACCUAACAUUCCCUACGGAGUUGUGUGGAAAUUUAUAUCCGGAUUUGUCUUGUGAGCAACUCAAUUUUACCGAUUUAAGAACAGAGGAUAGGAAACUACUAUCGAACUACUUACCUUGUAUACUUUUCCAAAGCCUCCUUGUCCAAUUACACACGUUUCAGAGAAGUUGUGCGUUGCUAUGGCAAUUUCCUCAAAUCUUACAAAUGGGAAUUCAUGAUCGCGUGGAGGGUUUCCUUUCCCAAGUUCAUAAGAGAUACUCAUACUAUCCAAUGUCUAUCAUCUUCUGCUUUCUCUUUUUCCUGUUCUUCCCUGCUCCCACAAUUUCAUAAACAUUUCAAUUCAGGAAAUAUACCUUGCAAUUUAAUCCACAAGAGAUGGUCAAAUGGACUUUAUCAUCAGGAAAUAACCCUAUACGUACUAAGGUACCUUGCAAUUUUAGCCAUGCCAGGAAAAUGCACAUGAGGAUCACAAUAGUACCGCCCAAAACUGGCAGAGAAAUCUUAACCGUGGUGCUGUGUUUACCUGUGCAAAACGUACACACACAUAGCACAUCGCACGAAAUAAAUGGAAAUACAUCUGUGAAAACAAGAAAUUCAGAUCAAGAAUUGGUACCAUCCGUUGCGUCCAGGCCUGCAAUGCGGAGAUAGAGCGUGUAGCUGCCGAGCGCCUCGGCGCCGACCUUCCCGUCGUCAAUCAGCCCGCCGGCCCACACGAGGCACCUCGUCAAGUUUCGCCGCGGCGACUUCCCGGCGUCGCUGCUGCCCAGGUUGGCGUACGCGUACGCCACGCACGAGCAGUUGCGGCCGCACUCCGCCGCGCACUCCUCCAGCGUGCCGCCCCGGUCCCCGCCGACCACCGCGAACCCGUCGGGUGACUUCAUCCCCGGCAACGCCAAGAAGCCGCCGUCGUUGCCGCACCCAAGCAGCGGUUCCUUCCGCCGGCACCCCUCCGAGAACUUCCCCUGGCCCCACUCCCCUGCGCUCGCCGGCUCGAAGCCUUCGAGGCACGCGCACGUCGGGGACGAUGGCGCCGCCGCCGUCUCGUCGCAGUACCCGUACGGGCCGCAGUGGCCGUAGCGGCUGCAUUCCGUGGACGGCCAGUGCGCGAGGACGGCCCACGAUGACGAGGCGGCGCUCCAGCUCUGGAGCUGGUAAGUGCCGGAGUGCGUCACCACGUACCUGGUGCGCCCGGCGCCGUCGGAGAGCGUGUAGGUGAGGUAGAUCUCGUCGUCUCCGUCGACGAUUGCCAGGUAGACGACGAUGGCCGCGGCGCUGCUGGCGUUGUCCUUGGCCGCGCCCGCCGGUGGCGGCUGGUACCGGCGCUCGCUCUUCACCAGGUACCCGUUCCACGGCGCGCUGCGGGCGACCGGGCGCGCGCCAUCCCAGAGGAACACCUGGAGGGACGUGGCCGGGUCGCCGCCGUAGGAGAAGCGCCCCGGCGAAGGGUCGCCGGGCGCGUUCCAGGACACCAGGCGGUCGCCGGCGCGCGUCCUGUACCUCAUCCGGAUCUUCAUGCCCGGCAGGAACGUGUCCGUCGGGUGGUCGAAGCUCUGCCACAGCGUGGUGCCGUUUGCCGAGCGGAGGACCAGGUUGCCGCUGUUCAGGAGCACCGCCGUCGCCGCCGGAGCUGCGGCCACGUCGGUCUCAGGCGUCGUCGUCCAAAGGACGCGGCCGCCGUCGGAGAGGACGAGGCUGGAGGUGUCGGUGAGGGAGAGCGUGGGCGCGGAGGAGGAGUUAGUAGUGUUUGUGGCCGGGGUUUCUCGGUUGGCGACCCACACCACGGUGAGCUCGGGGAUGCCGUUGUACCAUAUGCCGACGUACAGCCUUGCCGGAGUAGUGGAGUUGGAGGGGCUGAAGAAACCCAGGGCGAAGGCGCCGUCGUCGGAGACGAUGGUAGCGCCAGGGGAGAGCGGCUUGCCGGGGACGAGGCGGUCGUCGGCCGCACGCAACGGCAGGAAGAUCACAAGGAUCAGGAUAGUGAUGGAGCACGCGAGAGCCCACCGGUCCAUUGGUCGAUCGGACAGGCCCAAAAAACUUCUGUUGUACUGUACGUACGAGCAUGUGGAAAGGAAUGUAAUCCGCUAGUCGUACACAGUGACUCGUACUACUAUUUCGUUGUUGAUGCUGACAUGCUGUUGUUUACAAGCCUUGAUCGGACCCGUUCCAGCAUUCGAUCGCGUGGAUUACGAAAGCAGAUGGCUGAAAAAUGCAUAGUUCUUGAAUCCUGCGGUAGGAGCUCAGAGUGUUUUGGAUUUGACAUCUCAGCUGUCCACGUCGGAGCAGAGCGCGAUACGGCGAUAGUCAUCGUGCUCGUGUGAACCCAGCUGGUCAAACCGCGGCACGGUUGAAUCCAAACAAACUUUACCCUAUUUUUCUAGGGAAACAAACCUUUUAGCUUUGUAAUUGAGGCCCACGGGCCACGGGAAUUAAUGGCCCAGCGAGAGCUCUACCCAGUCACCCACCCACGUCCGGCCUAGUCGCGGGGUGCGGCCUCGCUGGUCGGUCGUCGCUUCGUGUAAUAUACUCCGAUUAGGCAAAUUAGGCAAAUCCGAACUGAUCUCCAAUAAGAAAGCCAAUCCGAACGCAUCACGUAAUUCCGGCAGCAGCUAUAUUUAGUGACUCCUGUAUGCAGCUCGAUCGAUGCCUUGGAUCUCUUGAUGCUCCCCAGACCGAUUGAAUCGCCUGCCUCGAUCGAAGAUACAACACUUGGUUAAGUUUGAUACUACUACCAAAUUAACGAAUUUGAUUUAGAUCGGAGAGAGAAGAUGGGAUCGUCGUCAAGAACAGGGAAUAACCGAGUGGAGGAUCGUCCGGAGGAGGAGGAGGACGAGUUGUUCGUGGCCCGUGUCGGCUUGUCCGUGACCUUUGUCGUCAUCUUCAUCCUCUUUCUUCUCGUCGACACGGGCGUGAUCAAUCCCGGCGCCCCCAAGUUUCUCAAGAUCUUCUAUGGGGUGACGGGGCUCAUCUGCCUGCUCGGUGCUGCCAUCCUCGUAGUCGACUGCCUGCGUGAACGGGAACACUGGCCGGCGCCCUUUCGCCGUACGCGCAUUGCCGGGCCCGCCGAUCUGCCGGCCUGCGACGCGUGUUAGUCUGCUAGCUAUAUUGCCUGCCCUUUUUUUCACCAAGAAGCUGGAGUACCUUUUUUUUUAGGUGUUCACCAAGUAGCUACCUUGCCUGCCUUGGUUCGGCUCAUCGAUCUUACCGUUAUAAUAGGGUUUUUUUUCGUGCUUUGCCACAGCCUUUAAAAUACACCGGUUACCAAAUAAUGUAAUGUUUGUGUGUUGCAACGGACAAACAAAUUUGAUCUAUGUACUUGUUUCCUGAUGUUUUUUAUUUUAUUUGAUCUAUGUACUUGUUUAUUGGUUAAGAUACAUGCGAAGUACGAUAUGAUGUACUCGUCUCAUAAUGAUCUAUGUAUUGUUUAUUCAUGAUUUUGAUUUUUUUUAUCUACGUACUUGUUUCUUGGUUAAGGUACAUAUGAUGUACGAUAUGAUGUACUCGUCUCAUAAGAGGUAUGGUACCAAAUUAUCACAGAUGUUCAUGCUAUGAUUUUUUUUAAUAGCUGUGAUGUACCAUACGAUGUACUCGUCUCCUAAGUGCAUAUACUCGAGGUACUCAAAAUCUGAUAAAAUACAUGCCAUGCACCAUAAUGUAUUUAUCCAUGUACCAUAAUGUACUUAUAAGGUAUAGUUCAUAUACUUACAAAAGGAAAAAAGUCCGAGUGCCUAACAAAAAAAAAAGAGAGAAGAGCAAAAGUUGUUAGGUUUUUUAAUUUAAAGCAAAAGACAUUAACCAAGAGGAAGAUGGAGAAGGCCAAACAUGUAGCCAGCACCGUGGGCGCAAAUGCCACCAGUGGCACCAUUUCUGAAGGGGCGCGUAGAGAUAAACAAAAACUUUUUCUACACGAACUCCCAAGAUCUAGCCGAGGUAGAAGGCCACGAGGAUUACCACUAGACGCGCAGUUGCGGAUUAUCGAUGCAGCGCCUUGAUGCAGUGCAGUCCCUCGAUCCGAUCCAGCCGAUCCAAUCCCGCGAUCGUCGAAGUGCUGAACGUACAGCACCUCUGCCGGUAUCCACACAUGCGAGGAGGAGCUCCGGCGGCGGACUGCUAGGUCCGGUGCGAUGGUUGGACUGAAUGGGGCUAGGGUUCUCAACGCAUGAGAGUGGCGAACCGUGCCCCUUAGGCAUCCCACGCCCCUGCUUAUAUACCGAGUGGAAGUGGGCUUCAGCACUUGUGGCCCAUCCACUCUGCGAGUCGAACUCGCAUUGUCAGUCCAUUUCCGGUUUGGGUCCAACCCGACCAAAUACUUGCUUCCGCUCUUAAGUGUGUGACCCCGCAGGCUCAUGGCGACUUGGACACGAUUGGAGUCCGACUCUCAAUCGAUCAACCUGUAGCGGCUCCUAGCAGAACGUGCCGACUCCCAAGUACCAUCGAGUCAUGACGACGUACCUUCCAAUGUGACAUACGUCUUAGUCCCUUUUGCCUCACGAUAUACCUUGUCGAACUAUAGGCGAUUAAUCGUCAUCCCUUUAAUAGUUCAACUCUCUUCUCGAUCUGUGAUAUGCGAUUCAUCCGACUAACUCUUAGUCGAUCGACCCAGUUAACAGUUAACCGAGUCGCGCAUGGCCAUGCUUCCCGAAUCAUAUCACUCGAGAGGGCCCAGAGAAUAUCUCUCCAGUCGGAGGGGCAAAAUCCCAUCUUGGUUAUCCACAUCACAUAGCUUGAUUCUCAGUCAACUCGAACUCUGCCUUUAUAACUGCCCUGUUACGGAACAACGUUUAACAGAACCUAAGUUGGUGAUCCACAACUCGGAUUGUGCGAUAACCUCAGGUCUAAGGAUUACAUUGAUUGAGACAUGCAAAUGACGACCUACUCGUUGCAUCUCAAUAUGGGUCAGUCCGACUCGCUAAACUCUUUAGCCGAGUCCGUGUAAGCUGGAAUGACAUCACCAUGCCCAUGACAAGUGGAACCGAGUCAUCAGCCAACUUUCACAUUAGUUUAGGUUAUGUGUUCAGCACAACCUAAAUGACUAAGGACAAUUUAGUAUGAACAACAUGAAUACAUAGUUCCACAAUCAAAUCACAUAUUCAAUGAUACAUAUCAGAUGUUCAAACAAGGACAACUUAAUAAUCUUUAUGAAUACAUUGGGAAUUACAUCAUACAUGAUUGCCUCUAGGGCAUAUUCCCAACAAUUUCCGCUUUACUUUGAUCGUCAGCGCUCUGGGCUGACGUCACGGCCUUGACGUGCGCGGUGUUUCAUGCACGUCGAUGCGUGUUAGGGUGGUCGCUGCACUGGUUCUUCGGAGGGUUCCAAAGUCCAUGAGUUGGCGUAUGGGAGGCGGUAACCAUCUUUCUGGUGGCUUCUCAUGGCGCCUAUAUAUGUAGAGCUGUUGUCGGCAUUGCUCUGGGCACUUGCGUAUUGCGCUAUGGGUUCUGAACUUCUGAUGGGUUGCUUGGCGCUGCAGAUGUGGAUCCGGCACGAUCGGCAGCAUUGGAGCGUCGGUGUCCUCCCUCUGCCCUAACCACGACGUCCUCCCUCUGCCCUAACCACGGCGCCCCCCCCCCCCUCUUCCCCAACCACGGUGUCCCCCGGUGGCCCCGUUGCUAGAGGUGAAGCUCCGCAGCUAAGGAGGUGCAGUCCGGCGACAUCCAGGCUGAGACUACAGGGAGGUGUGGGGCCAGUGAGGCCAGAACGAUCCACCGGCCGCCAUGUGCCUCCUCACGCCUUUUUUUUUUGAAAAAGAGGGACCCCCUCCUGUUUCCAUUAAAGAAACGAUAGUCUUCUACACAAAUAGACAAAAGUAAGAAAAAGAAGAAAAACAUUCAGCGCGAAGUUCAGAUCACCAGCAGGUCUAGAAAUGAUACUAGCAACAGCAGAGAAAGAGAAAACAUACUACAAUUCAUAGAGCUCCUAGUCAGUAGAUUCAGAUAAAUGUUCUUGCUGCAGCAAUAGUUCCUUCACUUCAUGUAACCUGAACUUCUCCUCCUCCACUACCUCCCUAGCGAAGGCAGAGACCAGACAAAGCAGAAAAGCAGAGACGGCGAAACUUCAGCCCGCCAUGAUGCGACGACAAAGAGGAUGCCAUCCUUUCGCUGUUUCAAAAAUUUCCUUGGCGACAACUUCAACCAGUCUUACCCCCCACCGCAGAAGAUUUCUGCUUGCUUCCUUUCUCUGCAGAACAGACCAAAGAUUGAGCCAAUAACAGAAUCUCUUAAUGAUACCAAAAGGAGAAUAUCUUAAUGAUAUUUGGUCAAAAAAAUAAUAUCUUAAUGAUACCAAAAGGAGAAGUCAAACCAGCAGAUCUACAACAGGCAUCAUUUCUAGUGUUCCAGAGUACCCACAGUAAUCCUGCAACCCCUACCAUAACCAAUUUCCUAACAUUGCCAGAAAAAGCCUGCAUCCAUCCAGUCCAAAUUUGAUCAACAGUAUCCGGCUAAGAAUUUAAAUUGAAAGAACAAUUUAGAAUAUUUCAUAAGAAUCAAGCUAAAGUACACUGGAGGAAAAGAUGAUCAAUUGAUUCAUCCAUCCCACAGAACUGACAUUUGGAAUCCCUUUUCCACCCUCUAUGCUGCAAAACAUCUUUAGUCAAAUCAAAUAUCUCAGCCUCCUCACGUCUGGCGCUGCUCAUUUUUUAGAUUCUGUUCCAUCUUGAUUGAUUCCUUAGUUCACAAAUCAAAGAUCUCAGCCUCUCUUGAUUGCAAUUGGUACGGCGACGGAGAUUUUUCCUCUUUUUUUAGAGCUCUUUUACGGUACCCCACAUUUAAUAUGAUCCAUCCAUUAGUCACGAUCUAAUGGCUAAUAUUGUCCGGUACUCCACUACAAGUUGUCUGGAGUACUACCUCAAGAAUAGACGGAGUACCACGAUAUGAGGGGCAAAAUCGUAAUCAUAAGAAGUUUUUUUUCUCUCGCGGAGUUAUUUUGAUAAUCCAACACUAAAUAUUGUGCCAAAACUCAGGCGUGAAUGUUUUGAUUUACGCCAUCUAAAAAAGUCAUGAACCGGAGAUGAACCCUAAUCCUGAGGAGGUGUGGCGCCAGGCUUUGAUCCAUCACCGGCCGGCGCAAGUAUGCAAGGGACGAGGACGCUCCCCCCGCCGGCGCAAGUAUGCUCGUCGAGCCGCCGCCUUCUCCGUUUCUGAAGACACGAGCAUCGCCGUCAGGGCGCGGACCAGAGCUAGGUUUGGUCAAAAGGUAAACUGGGCCAAACAGUAGAGAUCAGGACGGCGGCGGAGAGCGGGAGACACGACAGAGUGCGGCCUGCACACAGUGCCGAAGGCCAAGGGUCAGCACUGACGCUUGCUCCCACGGCCAACGGCUUGGGCACGCAGGAGACUUGACGAUCCACGAGACCUUGGGCUUGGUUGAUUGAAAGGAGUACGUGAAAGUCCAAGAUGACCUGCGGGUUGCGGAAAUGCCCAGACUGCCCUUGCAGAUGAACGGACAGAUUUGUAUGGUACUCCAUCUUGUGUUUUGGGAGUACCAAUACUGUAAAAACUCUUUUUUUUUAAUUCUUUUCUUACUGCCCUAAACCCAUGGCAAUGUUUCUACUUUCCAGUGUCUUAGUUUGUUGUGGCAGGUAAUACAAUCGUUCCACGUAUAGGCUCCUCAGUUAGCGGCUUAAGCCUCGGUAGACUCCGGCCGCCACAUGCCUACGCUGACGGCUGCAGCUUCUUGCGUUUUGGCGAUGCUAUAAUCCCUUCUGGUGCGGUAAACUCUUUUCUAGCGGUGCCGGUUUCUACCGGCGUGGGAUGGACCAAUCGUUCACUGCCAGCAUGCACCACGUAUCCGGACGCUAUGUAUAUCCUUCAGUAUUCAUUUGUUCCCUCAUUUAUUCAACGUGGUAAUCUCAGUCUGGGUCCCACCAUGUGCUAAAAGAAAAGGGAGCACCAAAGAAGAGCGACGCGGGGCUCUGGACCUCUGUUCGAGGCGUGACGAGCGGGGCCCAAGCAAGGUGCGGGGCCAGGCGGGCAGCGAGCCAGCGACGGGCGCUGGCGCUAGUGUGUGUGAGCAAAUUUGAGGAGGUCUGUACAAAUUUGAUGAAACUUUUCUAAUCCUGUACUAACACAUUUUGAGGUUUGUACAAAUUAUGUAAGGGUUCAAACCAACUCAGAUUUUGAUGAAACUUUGGGGGUUGGCUUAAGAUGGGAACAUCCACCUUCAGUAAACGUUUCAAAAAUUUUGUAGCAAAUUUGAAACUCUGAGAUUUAAAUAUGGUUUAAGUUAAAAGGGCUAGUAAACUAAUUUUGAUUGACGCGAAAUUUUGCAUGUGCUCAUCUUGCAUAUAUGUGAGUUUGUACAAAAAGUUACAUGUCAAAAAGACGAAGUAGAAAAGUGGGUUAUUUCACAUAGGUUUGAAAAGGGGUUUAGUCCGCGCGAGUUCUAAAUUGAUGCAACAAUAAUUAAUACAUGAGAUGAUUACAUGAUGCAUGCUUAAUCUUAAAAUGAUCCUAUAUUAAUCAUCACACUGUAGUUCUCCACCAGCUCGGUCACCUACCGAUGGCGCGCAUGCCGCGCUAGCCACGCACCGCCUUGUGUUGCCCAACAUACCAUUUGUAUAUCAAUUUUUGGGUCAUUACACUAUAGUUCUCAAAUUUGUCGAAAUAUACCAUUUGUAUAUCAUAUACCACAUACCAAUGAAAUAUAUCAUUCAAAUACCACAUACCAAAUAAAUAUACCAUGUACCAAUAAAAUAUACUAGUGAGAUACCGUUGCAAUAUCAUAUACCAUACGAAUGUAGUGUACCAUUUGUAUAUCAUAUAACACCGUAAUAUCAUAUACCACAUUACCAAUGAAAUAUACCAUUCAUAUACCACAAAGCAGAGAAAUAUACUAUUCAUACACCAUGUACCAAUAAAAUAUACCAAUGAGAUACCGUUGUAAUAUCAUAUACCAUACGAAUGUAGCAUACCAUUUGUAUAUCAUAUAACACCGUAAUAUCAAAUACCACAUACCAAUGAAAUAUACCAUUCAUAUACCACAUAACAAAUAAAUAUACCAUUCAUAUACCAUGUAAAAAUAAGAUAUACCAGUGAGAUACCGUUGUAAUAUCAUAUACCAUACGAAUGUAGUAUAUCAUUUGUAUAUCAUAUAACACCGUAAUAUCAUAUACCACAUGCUAAUGAAAUAUACCAUUCAUAUACCAUAUAACAAAUAAAUAUACCAUUCAUAUACCAAGUACCAAUGAAAUAUACUAGCGAGAUACCACCUAAUUUCAUAUACCACAUACCAAUAAAAAUAAUAAUAAUCUAAAAUAUUGCAUCAUGUCAUCAUUACUUAUAUUGGUUGUGCAUCGAUUUAAAACUUUGCGGUCAUCAUUCUUAAACACCUUUUCAAACCUUUGUGAAAUAAAACAUCUUCAACCUUGUCCCGUCGACCUAAAACUUUUUGUACAAGCUCACAUAAAUAUAGUUCGAGCCUCUACAAAAUUUCAAGUUAAGCGGAAUUACUUUAAUACCCUUUUUGAAUUAAACGAUUUUCGAAGUCACAUAAAUCCCUGAAUUUCAAACUUGCUCCAAAAUAAUUGAGAAUUUUACUGGAGGUGGAUAACACCAUCCUAAACCAACCCUCAAAAUUUCAUUGGAUUCGGACUUCAUUUGAACUUUCAAAUUAUUUGCAGAAACCACCAAACGUCUAAGUUCAAAGUUGGAAACGAAAUCAAUCAGGUGACCCCACAUGUCAUACUCUCACGUGUAACUUAUUCUCUUUCUCAGUUCUCUUCUUCUCUUCACAGCACGGUAGAAGAUAUCCAGUGCUCCCACCCCUUAGGAUGCGAGCGUGCUCAGUUUUCGAAUUUUUUGAUAUAAAUUGAGUAGCUUUGUAAGAUAUGUGUCUAUCAUGUCACAAAGUUUCAAAUCCAAAUUCAUCAUAUGCAUAGAAAAACAAAAAGGACAAAUCCAGAUGCGAGUAGGUCGCAAAAAGAUAAAAACACAAAAAGACAAAAUUUCUAACACUAUUCAUGUUUGCAUUUGUCUUUUUUUUUUCUCUCUGUGUAUAAUGAAUUUGGAGUUGAAACUUUGUGACAUGGUAGACACAUAUCAUAUGAACCCAUUCAAUUUAUUUUGAAAAUUUUGAAAACUUUUUAGAGGUGCUGCCGUGCAUUGGGAGCACGGUAACACCCUAAGGGGUGGGAGCACUGGAUAUCUUCUUCACAGCACGGCACGCACAGGAACUCAAACCGCAUCGCCACUUCCUGACAUCGCUCGCCAUAGCCCUGCACUGUGUGCCAAGGCCUGCCCAUCUACUCGCAUCACGCACUCUAGCGGACGUGUCAGCCGCGGAUCCCGCCGGAUCUAGAGAACAACGCGGCGGCGGCGCACUCCAGCUGCUCGUGAUCUUGGGAAGAACGGCACAACGGCGCACUCCGGGAAAGAAAUUGGGGCAGCCAUGGAUCCGAGGAAGAAUUGCGUGGCAGCUCGGUCCAGUGGCUCGCGACCAUUGGGAAGAACGGCACGACAGCGCACUGCGGGAAAGAAAUUGGGGCGGAAAUGGAUCCGGGGAAGAACAGCAUGUCGGCGCGUCGAUGAAGCUCCCUGCGGCAGUGGCACAGGUGGCGACGAUGCUAGACACCUCCGGCGAUAGGAGGGAGGGAACAACGCGAUGGCAGAGGGAGACUGGGAGAGAGAUGACAGUACGAUGGAAACCAGCCAAAAUAUCUGCUCCGUGAAGGACAGUGACAAACUCAAGUGGGCUGGGUAGCAACAAGUACAAUACAUCUUGCGACCGAACCGAUGUAUAAAUUUCCAUAAUUGAAAUACCGACUCGGGCGUGCGUUGAUCUCAUAGCGCGAAUGGACGGUUCGUAGGAUACCGGCACCGCUACAAUCGCCGCUUUGCUUCUGGUGCAGCUAUUUAUGUUUAUGAUUCAACUUGUAUUCUAUCAACUAUGCCUUCUCGCGAGUUUGGCCAUGCAAUGACAAUGUUGUUAUUAUAUACUGUCUUGGUGAUUUAUCCUAUUUGCCUUUUUCUCCAGAUAGAUUCGCAGAUUAUUGAGAAUGCGACAAAGUUAUAAAAAAAUGGCUGAAGUUGGAAUCUCAGUUGAAGAGCAUGAAGGACAACUCCAAGAUUUUCCAUCAUCCAUCCCAUUUUUGCCUCCCCUGGCUAGUAUUAAGCAAGGACGUUACUUGGUAAUACUUUGCAUGCAACGGUAUGGUGUGUCGAAUUUGAAACUCAUAAGCAGUUGGUUACUAUAUUUCUAGUUUUCUAUAAAAGAAUGCAGCUAAUCUGAAGGUCUACUAUGCUACUCUUCUCAUUGCUGCGUAAUGGUCUUGUGGAUUUCUUGCACCAAUUAUCCUUUUUUUAAAAGGUCCAGCAAACGUUGGCUUUCCAAUGCAUUAGCAGGCAGAGAUAAUUACAGGGUUUGCCCUAGGCCAAAGAGAAAAAAGGAGCGGAAACAAAAGAAAGAAACGAAGGUGGCCAGGGGAGACUGAGGAGGAUUUCAGGGGGGUUCCAGAGAAGUUUCCUGAGAGCCUUUGCGCCGACGAAAGCCCGGUCUUGCGCUUGAAAGUAGCGAUCUGACACAUGCCGGUGGCCUUGUCAUGGAAAACUCUUGAAUUGCGCUCGCGCCAAAUCGAGUGGCACACCAGGAUGAACAAGGACCCAAGCCCUUUGCUUAGGUUUGCACUGUAUGAUUUCAUGAGGCGGUCGUGGAAGUCCUGGAUCGACGUGGCCCCAUGGAUGGCCGUAGCAAGGGCACGACAGUUAGGCCAGAGUGCAAUCUCGCACCAGAGCAUGCUGGAGAACGAGCACUCGACGAAGAGGGGGAAGGGCGUCUCCAGGUUCCGACGACGGAGAGGACAGAAGUAGCAGUUGGGCCAGCCGCGCCGUUGCAGACGAUCCGCACACAAAAGACGGUUCUGAAACAGAAGCCAAGCGAAACAUUUGUGCUUCGGCGGCGCCCAGACGUGCUAGACGGUCUAGGGAAGCGAUGAGAGCGUGACGCCGAUAAAGUGGAGCUUGUAGGCGGAGCUAGAAGAGUAAGAGCCGUCUGCGGUCAGGGUCCAACGAAUGGCAUCCGGAGUCUCAGGCUGGAGGGAGAUCGCGUGCAGAUCACGCCAGGCAGAGAUGAACUCGUGGAGGGCGUCGGUAGGCAGGUCGCGACGCAAGUCGCGGACCCAACGAUGAUCGGUGACAGCUUGGACGAUCGAGAGAUUCUUGCAUCGGGAGAGGGCAUGCAGUUGCGGGAAAGCCAGCUGGAGCGGCCGUCCACCAAACCAGGUGGAAUACCAGAAACUGGCGGUAGAGCCGUUGCCGAUGGUGACACGGGUAGCAUCUGCGAAAGGUCGCGGUCAACCUCGUCGCAGGGAGUAGGCGUGCCGACCCAAGGCCGAUCCGACGCUCGCCACUCGAGCCAGAGCUAUAGUAGACGAAUGGCCCUACCAAAAGCAUCCAAAUUCAUGACUCCCAUCCCGCCGUGCGCAAGAGGAGAGCAAACCCUAGACCAACUAACCUUGCACUUGCCCCAAGCGAGCUCAUUAUCAUCAACACCCCAAAGGAAACGUCGGCGGAUCUUAUUGAGGGUGCUAAUGAAAUUUCGGGGAAGCUUGAGCGCGUUCAUGGCAAACACCGGGAGGGCGCUAAGCACAGAGUUGGUGAGAGCAUACGGCACCCACUGGUGCUAAUCCAUCUUCCCCGCCAACAAGCCAGGCGAGCACGGGCAUGAUCCAGGAUGUGUUGAAGGUGAGCGCUCUUGAUCCGUUUGAGGGACAUGGGGAGGCCUAGGUAGCGAAUGGGGAAAUCGACAUGUAUCCCAUGGAAAUGCAGAAGGACAUCGUCGAGGUUGGUAUCGUCGCAUCGGAUUGCGGCCACCUCACACUUGCCAGGAUUAAUGCGCAGGCCCGUGGCGAGACCGAAUUCAUGCAGCAGAUGGAGAACGAAGAGCACGUCGGUGCGCACAGGGUUAAGGAAGAUGAUGGCGUCAUCUGCGUAGAGGCCGCCGCGCGGAGCUGCUUCUUCAGGGGUAGCGGGGAGAGACCGCUGAGCUCUGUGCCGCGUUGAAAGAGGCGCUACAGCGGGUCGAUGGCGAGGAUGAAGAGAAGCAGAGAGAGCUGGUCUCCCGGGCGCAGGCCGCGACGGUGAGGGAUCGAGGCGCCGAUGGUGCCAUUGAGAAGCACCGAGGAUGAGGCGGUGGAGAGGAGGAGCGCAAUCCAGUCACGCCAUCGAGCCGGGAAGCCGAGUCGUUGGAGGAGUUCUAGAAGAUAUUCCCAAGACACGGAGUCGAAAGGUUUGGCGAAAUCGAGCUUCAUAAGCAGGGCUGGCUUUUUCCCGCGGUGGAGAGUGCACGCCGCGUUUCGAACGAAAAGGAAGUUGUCGUGGAUGCAGUGGGUCGUGAGGAAGGCGCUCUAAGAGGGAGAGAUGAGCCCCUCCAUGAAGGGGGACAGGCAGUAGGCGGGUACUUUGGAGAAGAGCUUGGCGAACGAGUGAAUAAGGCUAAUAUGGCGCAGGUCGUGGACACUGUUAAUUUGGGCUAUCUUGGGCAGCGAGAAAAUGAAGGCUGAGCUGAGAGUAGAGAAAUUUCCACUAGCGAGACAAUGGAGGUGGUUGAAAGCAGCAAGGAGGUUGAGCUUGAUAAUCUGCCAACAGGAGCGGUAGAACACGCGUUGUGAAGCCGUCUAGCCCGGGCGCGUUUCAGCAGGCGAGUCCCGGAUGGCGACCCAAAUCUCGUCCAUCGAGAAAGGGAGGUCGAUGCCGACCGGGGGAAGGGUCGGCAGGUUGAGCUCGGACCACGCAAAAGAAUGGGAGCGCGGGGAAGUCGAACCAAGAACGGCAGUGAAAUGCUGGAGCAGGGCCUGAGCUUUGUCGUCAUGCGCCACGUGCACACCG